CUUUUGCUUUUGUUGUUGUUUGCAGGACCUGAUGAAGUCAACGGAGACGGAAAGCUUCCAUUUUGGUGCAAGGCGUAGCUGGCGGUGGCAGACCUCGGGCGACGAGUGCGCUGGAGGCACAUGGGUAGCAAGAUGCGGCGCACUAGGGUUUCUAGGUUUCUGAUUUUUGCUGAAAUUGUUUUAAUUUUGGGCCAUCUGGGCCUUGUUAUUUUUCGGGUUUGGAAUUUGGGUUGUAAUUUUGGGCCUGGGCAUAAAUUGGGUCUUACAGCUGCCCCUCUUUGCUCGUUGUCGUGUAACGGGAACAGAGCAAAGACUAAGAAAGACCAAUUUUGCCCGGUCUCAUCGAGUCUCGACUUCUUUUAACACUUCUCCUCUUCACGUAGUGUUAUCCCAGUCCGCUUCGACCCACUCCAUUGCAGUUCAAAAAGAUCUGACUUGUAGCUCCAAUCUUCUUCGCCGUAACUUCAGGGGGACGAUGUUUGUGGUUUUAGCCUGCUCCACUGUAACUUCAGGGAGAUAAGACUGGUUUCUUUUGUCUGCUCCACUACUACUUAGAGAGAUAAGACUUGAUGUGAUCUGCUCCACUACUGCUUAGGGAGAAAAGAUCUUAAAUCUUCAAUCUACUCCACUACUACUCAGGGAGAUAGGAUUGGUGGCUUAAAUCUGCUUCUCCACUAUCUUGGGAAAAUAAGAUUUACCAUCUUCGAUCUGCUCCACUACUGCUUAGGGAGAUAAGAUCUGCAAUCUUUGACCUACUCCACUACAGCUUAGGGAGAUAGGAUCUACCAUCUUUGACCUACUCCACUACUGCUUAGGGAGAUAGGACUGGUGGUUUUGAUCUACUCCUUUAACCAGCUCCACUGCAACCGAUGGAGGCAAGGCUUUGUUUUUUUUUCUGCUUCGCUGUUCACGCAGGAAGGCAAAAUCUGCUUCUUUAACCAGCUCCACUGCAACCGAUGGAGGCAAGGCUUUGUUUUUGAUCUACUUCGCUGUUAACGCAGGAAGACAAAAUCUACUUCUUUAACUAGCUCCACUGCAACCGAUGGAGGCAAGGCCUUGUUUUUGAUCUGCUUCGCUGUUAACGCAGGAAGGCAAAAUCUGCUUCUUUAACCAGCUCCACUGCAACCGAUGGAGGCAGGGCUUUGUUUUUGAUCUGCUUCGCUGUUAACGCAGGAAGGCAAGAUCUGCUUCUUUAACCAGCACCACUGCAACCGAUGGAGGCAAGGCUUUAUUUUUUUGAUCUGCUUCACUGUUCACGCAGGAAGGCAAAAUCUGCUUUUUUAACCAGCUCCACUGCAACCGAUGGAGGCAAGGCUUUGUUUUUUUUUAUCUGCUUCGCUGUUAACGCAGGAAGGCAAGAUCUGCUUCUUUAACCAGCUCCACUGCAACUGAUGGAGGCAAGGCUUCGUUUUCGAUCUUCACUGGUCUACUCUUUAGGGAACAUGAUAUGUCUAAUGAACCUAAUUAUGCCUAAUGAUUAGGAUGACAUGAUCAAAAUGAAUCAAACGCUCCUAACUAGACAUGUAUGAAUGGUGUUUGCAUGAAUGCAGAAUUUUAUCUUUCCGAGAAUGCUCCCGCUUAGGUUGUUAUUACUCGAAGUUUAUUAAGGCCUUGUGACUGACGUGCUACGAUGCCUUCUCGCUUGACUGGCUUUUCUGAAGAAACAUUUAGCCAGGUUGCCCCCAUCGUAAACCUCAGAGUUUAAUCCAUUGGGGCACCAAAUUUGUACCAUCAUUUUCCACUGUAAUCCAAGAGUAGAGAUAUAUGGCUUUCCUCAAUCCUCUCUUAUCACAAUUCAAGGAUACAGGAUCCGAAUCGUUAUGGUCUCUUACACUAAUGCUAAGGUGUUGUACCAAAGACAUGCGCAAAUGAAGGCUCUCUUCUCCGAGGUAGCCUCUUCCUAUUUGCCUGGUGAUCAUUGCAUCUUGUCACUUUCCUCAAUCAAUGUUCUUGUCAACAAAAUCCAAAGAGAAAGUCUAAGUUUAGACUCUUCCUUCUCAAAUUUCCAACCUUUAAAAUUGAUGUGUUCUAAACAAUAGUCCUGUUUCAGGCUCCUAUAUUGUUUAGAAACUUUUCAAAGUAAUAUGCAAAACUUCCUUUGUGAAAGUUUUAUUAGUCCAUUAAUCAUUAUUCCAAUACAACAUGCUUGCAAAAAGGGUCAUAACAAUGGAUAAGAAUAAAGUUGGUUUUGAGCAUAGCUCAAAAGAACAAGUUAUCCAAAAAUAGUAAAGAAGGAUGACAAAGAAAUUGAUUGGGAAUGUAUAUCUUGGAAAAGAAAAAAGGUAUUCCAAGAACAACAAAUAAUAUGAGAAUUGGGUGCCUCAGAUGUCGCAACUUGAACUUCUCCGUACAAACUUUCUGAAGACCAUUUUGAGUUUGACAUGUGUUUAGGAGAUCUAUAGUGCUUUGUCGAUGCCCCAAGAUGUCGCUUAUCCCUUCCUGUUGAUUCAGGUAUAGCAAGAUCACCACAUGCCCCAAUAUGAUCAAAAUACGAAUCGUUCUGAUCGCCUCAUGCCCUACUUUAAUCAAUAUUUGAGCCGCCCUUUUCGGGUUUUCAACUUAAAUCCCCUUUAGUCUAAGGUGCCCUUUGCGGGUUUUUCCCUUAGCCUCUCCAUUUUACUUUUCAAUUUUUCAUUUUCAUUUUUCAUCUCUCUUUUUUGAACUUCAUUGUCUUGCAAUACAGUGACAAACCGUGGUGCUUGAUUUUGAACUGAUUACAUCCCUCAGCUGUCGUGUUGCCAUUCCAGUUCAAUGUAUUUUUCAAUACCAUCCUCUCUGGAAUUCUUUAUCGGCAUAUGAUGACAUUGACGCAUGCAGUAGCCUCUAUCCAUUUGAUGAAGUAAUUAAUGAUCCCAGUAGUGAAGCAAUGCCCAUUAGAAGUCUUCGAUAAUGGUGAUGUCCAUGCUCUAUUUUGCUCGAAAUUUGAGUCGCCCCUUUCGGGUUUUCAACUCAAAACCACCUUUGGUCACAAAGCGCCCUUUUUGGGUUUUCGCCUUGGCCUCUUCUUUUCUUUUUUUUGCUUUUCAUAUUUUUAUUUUGACUUUGAUUGAUUUCUCUUUUUCUUUUUGUUUUUUAUUUUGAUUUUGAUUUUGAUUUUUUUCUCUUUUUCUUUUCCUUUUUUUCGAAUCGGAUCUGAAGUCUUGGGAUUAGGCAAGUCCUUGUUAUCCCUUUCAAAGGAUCUCCUCUGAUAUCGGAUUUCCCUUAUAGAGCCUUUUGGGGCAAAACUACAACUGGAAACUUUUGAUCUUUCUCUUCCAUCAGGAUAAAAUCCAACAUCUUAAAGGGAUAGAAACUCGACUUCAAACGGGCAAAACUAUGCUGAAUCGACGAGAACGGCAUUGCCCCAGCAUAGAAUUGUAUCGUGUUGUUGUGCAGAUUUCUUUAUCAGUGCUUGACCCGGCAUCUCCUGAUGUGAUCCUACAAAGACCUCUUUAAAUAAGGUCUUACUUCAUUUUUGAGGACAAGUCAAUUCUAAUCUUCACCAAGCUCAGAAUUCCUAAUGAUUCAUUGAGAGGUAGGAUCUGUCUAUCCUCCUACUCAACCAUCCUCAAUAAGUCCGGAGGUAAGCUACAAUCUUUGUCAUUUUCAAAGUCCUGAGAUCCCUCUGCACACAUGCCUUGCUCAAAAGAAAAAUCUAGGUGUGUAGCAGAGUCAUUCACGGCAUUGAUAUCUGAGGACCCAUUAUAUGCACCGAAGAAUAUACAAAAGAAUGUAUAAAUUUAUGAAUGAUUAUUUACAAUAUGAUUAUGAAUGAAUGAUGGUUUGGAAGAAAAUCCAAAAGAAUGAAAGAAUAUAGAAUUAUCCGUAAAGAAAAUAAUCGUAAAGAUGUAUUUCAUAAUAACGUUCAGACAUAAGCCUAUUUCACAAAGGAAUUUCUAUCAUUUCUAGGCUAAGAACAACAAAAAUGUUCUGAACAUUACUUUAAAAAGCUCUAGAGACUAUAGGGUUUUCUUCUGCAGUCGAAUUGCUUAGAACACUUCUAUGUUUAUAAGGGAAAAUAUCUAACAGGGUCCCUUCUUCAGUUGCUUCUGCAUUGCAUUCACUCCACUUAUCAAUUAUGAUUGGGUAAUGGAGUUUCCGCACUGNNNNNNNNNNNNNNNNNNNNNNNNNNNNNNNNNNNNNNNNNNNNNNNNNNNNNNNNNNNNNNNNNNNNNNNNNNNNNNNNNNNNNNNNNNNNNNNNNNNNAGUUUUUUAAAAGCAAUGCAAUUUUUUAUCGAAUGCCCCGUAUUUCCCGCAUGAUAUUCGCAUUGUGCAUUCGCAUCGUGCCAUCUGGGGUACGGAGGCUGUGGAGGCUUUGUAUAGAGAGGGGCAACAAUGCGCGCGUUGAAUAACUUUUGAUACAGCUCCUUAUACAUCAUCGGAAUUGGCGUAAACUGGAGGUUCUCAGUACCUUGUUUCGCACAAGGUUCUUGUCUAGAUGAACCUUGCUGACUAGCAAUCACCUUAUUGUAAGUGUUCACAUUGCUUACAUCGUUUUCCUUCUUCUUUAAAUCUGACCUUCUAUUAUUCUCCCCAGCAUCAAUCUUUCCACUUCUCACGGCACUUGCAAUCAUUUCACCGCUCAUGACUAUGUCUGAAAAGCUUUUUGUCGCGCUUCCUAACAUAUGCGUAAUGAACGGGGCCUUCAGCGUAUUGAUGAAGAGCAUUGUUGUCUCUUUUUCCAGGAGUGGUGGCUGAACUUGUACGGUAAUCUCCCUCCACCUUUGUGCGUAUUGCCUAAAACUUUCAUUAGGCUUUUUCCCCAUAUUUUGUAGGGUAAUUCUGUCAGGCAUCAUUUCCGAGACAUGAUUGUACUGUCUCAUGAAAGCCUGUGCCAAAUCCCUCUAAGUACCAAUUUUUGUUCUGCUCAGCUGAUUGUACCACUUUGACACUGCUCCUGUAAGACUUUCUUGAAAGCAAUGUAUUAAUAAUUGAUCAUUAUUAAUAUACCCCGUCAUUCUUCUGCAAAACAUAGUAAUAUGGGCUUCUGGGCAACUGGUCUCGUUAUAUUUCUCAAAUUCCGGCAUUUUAAAUUUGUAAGGUAGCACCAAGUCCGGAACCAAGCUCAGAUCUUUUGCGUCUAUCCCAUGAUAGCUUUCAAUGCUUUCUAUUGCCCUAAACUUCUCUUCUAUCUAUUUCUAUUUCUCCUCAAAUUGUUUUGGAAGUUCCUCCUUCGCCUUGUCCUUUUCAGCCAUCUCAUCAAGAUCUGGGAUAGCAAUAUUAUUCGGGCUAUCACCGGGAUUAGAGCCCGCUCCGGGUUGAAAAUUCAUUGGUAUUGAAGCAUCGCCUUGGAACUGCUGAGGCCUAACCGACACAGAGGGUUUUCGCGGAUGCAGCUCAGUUUGAACCUGCGCAUGCGGAGGCGUAAAACUUGGAGGAUAAAGUGGUUCGCCAUUGUUUUCUUCCUCAUUAAUAAUCACAGGUCCUUUCCCCUUAUCUACUCCCUUCAAUAAUUGCGUCAUCUUAGUUAUCAGAUCAUUUUGAGACUCUUGCAUCUUUUGUACCAUGUCAUGUUGAAUCUUUUCUAUUUGUUCUUUCAUUUGCGCCUGCAGCUGGUCUUGCAUUUCCUUUUGAAGUCGCUCUAGCUUUUCCAACUUUUGGUCCAUAAUUUUUUACUUAGCUCGAGUGUCGUAACUUUGUCGGUUUUCCAGGUUAACUGAAAUAAAUUGACUCAAUUAGACUCUUUUAAUGGAUGCUAAUGCAUGUAAUGCCGGUGCAUAAAAUGAAUGCCUAGAGAGACAUUGAUUUUGAUUCAAUUACAUUUAGGAAACUUUUCUAGAAAGCAAAUUCCUUUACAUAAAGCAGAUGCAUGUAAGGCCUCGCCCUUAUAUUCCUAGAGACAACAUCAAUCUUUUCCUUCAUCUGCAUGUUUGUGAUAAUCUCACCAAUUUCCAACAGACGCCACUGCUAGCUUCUUUUCUAGAUCUUGGUCGUCAUCUUCAUGAGACUCGUCAACUUCUUUAAGGGAGUUCGAACGUCGAAGGCUCUUGGACAAUCGUCUUGAAUCCUCAGGCCACGAAGUAAGGUCACGAACUCUUCCAUCGUCUUUCUUGUGUUUCUCAGAAUAUAUUCAGGCAGUCGUAUUGUUUUCUACUUUAUCAAGGAAUUCGUAUUCUAUGACAAGCUUUCUAAUUUAGUAAUUGGAUUUGAAUCAAUAUCUCUUUCCUAAGAUGCAAAUGCAAUGCAAUCAUAAUCAAAACAAAACAAGAUGUGUUAGUACAAAACAGAAGCAAACAAGAAAAAUAGAGUACCUAUUCGGGUAACCAUUAGGGGUUUGAAAUAGCUCUACCUAGAGUGGGCUUUUAAGGUCUUCUACAUGCGGUUUGGCUCUAAAAUCAAGGUACCCGAACCAGCAGAUUCCUCGAUCCUCACCCAUUAUAGGCUCAUAUGGACCGAGUUCGGUUCAGGGGAAUACAUUUCCCUAUGGCUGCACGGAGAUGAAAAUCUCACGAAGACAUAGGUACGGAUGUAUCCCGAAAGCGAUCCACUAUCCUGCACGGAGGUGAAAACCUCACGAAGGACUAGCUUCUCACUCCCACUUAAAAGGUGUGACCAACGGUCAUGCAAUGCAAUGUGCAGAAAGAUAUAAAAAUUUAAAAUGCAAAACUUGAUGAAAACUAUAAUUCAAGACAAAUGAAAUGCAAUGAGAGGAUCGUAAAUUUAAACCAAGUUUUCAAUUUUUGACAAAAAGAUAAAAAAUAAUCAACUCAUGGCUUGACUCACUUAUUUAAGUCCCCAGUGGAGUCGCCAAGCUGUUGACACCAUUUUUUGGAUGAAACGGGGUCGACUUGGAUUUUGAAAAUAAAAACGAAAACGGGAGUCGCCACCAAUCUUUUUUGAUGAGGUGUGAUCGGGUCACCUCGAAAAGUGGUUGUUUUUAAUAAACGAUUUAAUUUUUAUUGAAACAACGAUUUUGGUCUACGAAAUUCAGAAAAAUGAGUUCGGGAGUCGAUUACGCACGAGGAAGGAUUAGCACCCUCGAUACGCCCAAAAUUGGUACCCAGUUGAUUACUUAAUGUCUUGGUGUCGAAAAUUGAGAACUUUAAAGAAAUUUAAAAUACAAUCAUUAAAAAAAAACUCGAAUGGCAUGGAUAAAAAAAUUUAAGAGGAUAUUCGGCAAUUUGGUUAAACGAGAAAUCGAAACCCAGCACAUUAGGGCACGUUUUCUCGAAUUCCCAAACGCAAAAUAUUUCCUCUUUUGAAAUUUUUGGAAGGAUAUUUAGUCACUUGGUUGAACAAGAAAAAUCGACACCCAGCACAUUAGAACACGUUUUCUCGAAUUUCCAAAUGCUAAAUAUUACCUCAUUUAGAAAAAUUUUCUUUUUUGAAGUGUGGUGUUAAUAUGCAUAAUGAAACAAAAAUGAAUACGACAAGGUAAGCAUAAAUAUUGUGAGUAACAACAGAUGUUAAGUAGGCAAAAUGAGAAUGACAAAGCGAUUACAUAUAAAAAAAAAUNNNNNNNNNNNNNNNNNNNNNNNNNNNNNNNNNNNNNNNNNNNNNNNNNNNNNNNNNNNNNNNNNNNNNNNNNNNNNNNNNNNNNNNNNNNNNNNNNNNNCUUUUCCUUUAUCUUUAUUUUUGUUUUUGUUUGAAAAAUCAAAAUAAAAAAUAAAUACAACGAAAAAAGAAAAAGGAAAGAUUGCAAUCGGAAUCACCUUUGAUUUUUUUGCUUUUAUUUCUGUGAAUAAGUUACAAGAAAGAAAAGAAAAAGAACCCUGUUACAAGAAUAAAGUUUGGCCCCCUAACAGAUCUAAAGAUCGAUUUUUUACUGAUUCCCCUCUUUUUUUAUCUGUUUUUCGAUCGGUUUUAUACCGAAAGAUACCAAAAGCAAAAAAAACCCCCCUUUUUCCUUUUGUUUGAUUCGGCUCUUAUAGCCGAUUACGCUACUGUUUUCUGUUCUCUGUUGCUGUUUCUUUUGCUUUUGUUUUUGUUUGCAGGACCUGAUGAAGUCAACGGAGACGGAAAGCUUCCAUUUUGGUGCAAGGCGCAGCUGGCGGUGGCAGACCUCGGGCGACGAGUGCGCUGGAGGCACAUGGGUAGCAAGAUGCGGCGCACUAGGGUUUCUAGGUUUCUGAUUUUUGCUGAAAUUGUUUUAAUUUUGGGCCAUCUGGGCCUUGUUAUUUUUCGGGUUUGGAAUUUGGGUUGUAAUUUUGGGCCUGGGCAUAAAUUGGGUCUUACAAAGUACAAAUGCUUUAUUUGGAAGAAUAAAGUUAUACAUUUUAAAUUCGAUUAUUGUUUUUCAUUACUAAGGGUGGGUUUGGAUGGGCGGUGUGUUUGCUUGCGGUUAGUGUAAAAACAGUAGUGGCGGUGAGAUUAGAUACUGUAGCGAAAUUGUAGCCUGAAACAAAAAGUAAGCUAAACACAUCGCACCGCACUCAAUCGCUCAUCCAAACCCACCAUAAAUCUUUGAAAACGUUGUUUGUAUCAAAAUUAUUAAUAACAAUUUUUUUUUUCAAAAAAAUUAUUAAAAACAUUUUAUAAACUAAAAUUUUGUAAAUGUAAAUAUUAUUUUUUUAAAAAAACUUUACAGUAUAUUUUAAAAAAAUUAAAAUACAUUAAAAAGUAUUUUAAAAACAAUUUGAUUUAAGAAUAAUUUAAAACAAUUUGAACCCGGAUUAAAAUUUUACUUUUAAAAAUAGUUUAACAGAAUUUUUUAAAAAUUAGUUUUUAAAUUACAUUAAAAAUUAUUUUUUAAAUUAUUUUAUUUAAUUGUAUAAACUUAAAUUGCAUUUCAGGAAACAUUUUAAUAAAAAUUUUAAAUCAACUUUUUAAAAACAAAGUUACCAUAAUUUAAAAUGGUUUUUAAUGUAACUUAAAAAUGGUUUUAGAACGUUUUAAGUAAAACUAUAUUUUUUUAGAAACAACUGGAAAGCGUUUUUUAAAAUGGUUUUAAAAGCCAACUGAUAUUUAAAAAAAAUUAAAAAAAUUAAAACAUUUUUUUUUAGAAAUACUUUUAAAAAGUUAAUUUGAUUUCAAGGAUAUAUAACUAUUUUUUUGAAGUUUCCAACAAAAUCUUUAAUUUUUUUACAACAUUGUCAUAAAAUAAUUCAAAUUUGUAUUUGGAUGAUUUUUUUAAUUAUAUGGAUUUANNNNNNNNNNNNNNNNNNNNNNNNNNNNNNNNNNNNNNNNNNNNNNNNNNNNNNNNNNNNNNNNNNNNNNNNNNNNNNNNNNNNNNNNNNNNNNNNNNNNGUUUGGGUUAAAUUUUAUUAAUAAUGUUGUACACCAAAACAUUACUUGUCAAUUUGAAAUUAAGGUGCGUUAAAAUCAGAGUUACAAUGGGUAAAAAUGAUGACAUUAUAUUAUUGUCAUAAUUAUUAUUUUUAAUUAAUUUAAAUUAAUGAAGAGAUAAAUAAAAUUUAUAUUAUCUUAAAUUAAAUUAAUUAAGUGAUAAUAUUAUAUGAUUAUUUUAUCUCUAAUUAACUAAAUCAAUAAGAGUUAGAUAAUAAUAAAGGAGUUUAAUUCUUGUAGAACACUUAAAUGAAAAAGUUAAAUUCUACAACAACUCUCUUGAAUGACACUAUAAAAGGGGUCACCUCCUAGCUAUUCGACAUAUGUCGACAAGUUCAAGAUGUCCAAAGCAUUUUUGCAAAAAUCUUUAAAGAAAUUGAAGAAAUUUUGAAGAAUGUCACAUUAGUUCACAAAACAAGCCACCUCCCGAUUCAGUUCAACUGAAUGAGAGGAAGUCAAAACUCGUUUUCAAGAUCAAGUCUCAAUGACCCUUAAAGCAAAUCGCAUCCUUCAAAGAUCAAGUAAGAUGACCCUUAGACCCAAGCCAAACUAGAGAGAAGAAUCAAAUGAUUUCUUCUUACUUAAGAAACUUCUAAGAUUGUAACUUAUUUCAAUUUAUCAAUAAAAUUUGACUCCAACUUUUCCAAUCAAUAUUUGUCUCAACUUGUGUGUGCAAAUUUGAACAGGCCUGGUGGGACCAUCUCUAGCUUUCAUCUCAUCUAUUAAAAAGUCAAAGUACAAAGUUGCAAUAGUCUCAAAGAAGAUCAUUAUCAACAGACCAUCAAAGAAGAUCAUUGGCAAACCAACUCACAAGCAUGCUCAAGCUAAUCUUGCGCCCGCUUGACUUCAUCGUCAAACACCAAUGUUUUUGCUCAUCCUUAUGCCACUAGGAAUAAGACGAAAGCUCUUUUAUAGUCAUUCAAUCUGUGACACCCCACACCCAACCCGGCCACUAGAAUCGAAUGUGUGACAGACACAUUAUGUUGUCGGAGCAAUUCAGGCUAACUUAGUUCUAUUACGAAAUAAUUUAAGCAAUAAACCUUGGCUUCUUUUGGAUUUCGUAUAUUAACAAACUGAUGUAGCCUAAGGGCAUAUGCAUCUCGAUUUCAAGCAUCAUAACACGUAUUCACUAUGUUAUUUCAAUUUGGUCAUUUUUAUCCAUUACUGAUCACAAAUACAUUCUAUAAUAAUUAUUUAAUUCCAAGGUAAAGUUAUCAACUUAUAGUAGAUAAGUAGCCAAUAGCAAUUUCUAUACUUGUGGCUUUUAUUAUCUCGCUGCUUAUUGUUCGUCUUUGUCCUUCUAUUGUCCCACGACAUUCUGACAUCAUUUUCAACCUUGCUAAAUUUACCAAGUAUAGAAACAUUAUUAAAUUAUCCACUUAACAUAUAUGCACAUUCAAAUUAAACCCAUUUUAAAUAUUUUUCAAUUAGAUCCCUAUCCCUUAUUUCACUAAUAUAUGUGAUCCUCGUAUUUUACAAUUUAUCUGAUCGGAUCUAAAUCUUACUUUGUAUUUGUACGGUAGGGACCUUAAACUAUCAUUUUAUACCAAUAUGUCUCAAAGUUAUACUUUCUUACAUAUAGACCCCUAAUAGUUCAACAAUAAUUUGUUUACUAACACUUAAUUGAACUUGCUUGAACCACUCCCAACUUAGUACUUGUAUUAUUGUUAAUGCUCUGUUUAAUUAAUUGCUAUUUAAUUUAUUUCAAAGUCAAUUACUAAUGUUUCUAUUUUCUAAUUUUGUACUCGCUUCAUAGCUGCCUAAUAAUAAAAUAACUGAAAAAAAUCGAUUCAUUCAUGACCUAGAAGAAAUUUUCGCUUGUGGAUCAAAUGUAGCCCAUCGAUUACAUUCAAGGGGAAAGAUAAUAAACUAAGUGAGAACUUCAUUCCAUCAUCUCCCUAAAAACCAAAUUCUGGAGCAAGCAACACAUCCUUGGAGGAACAAAUGGCAACUCUAGUAAAAAUGGUGGAGAGUCUUGCUACAAUAGUCAAAGGAAUGAAUGAUCCAAUCACUUUCAUGAGCUCAAAUUAAACAUAUGAAUAGAAGCAACCAAACUUCUUACAAUGAAACUCAACAUCAAAAUCUUCUAAAGUUGGUGAAAUCGAAGUUGUUGAAGGACUUCAAAGUGUUUCUCCAUAUCAACUCAAGGAUCUCAUCAAAGAAGCCAUCAAAGAUCAUGUUGAAAGUGUUGCUCUACUUUCAUAUACAUAUUCAAAGCCACAUAAUCAAAGGAUUGAUCAUUGAAGAUACCUAAAAAUUAACAAACUCAAACAUUCUAAUAGUUUGUUGACAAAAGAAAUCCACGUCAACAUGUGCUCACUUUGUGGAAACUUGUAAUAAUAUCUACAUUGAUGAAGAUCUCAUGGUGAAAUAGUUCAUUCGGUCAUUUAAAGAAUAUAAUUUUGAUUGGUACACUAAUAUUGAGACUGAAAUGAUUAAUAGUUGAGAAUAACUUGAGUGAAAAUUUUCCUAAUCGAUUUUGUAGAACUCGUUGCAUUUUGAACAUGAUCAAGCUCACAGGCUCAAAAUAGUGGAAAGACAAGCCAAUCAUCGAUUACAUCCACCGUCAGAGGAAACAAAGUCUAAAAUGAAAAGAGAUGGUCGGAAUCCUUUACUAUCAACAUGUGCAUACAAGGUAUGAAUUGGGGCUUCUGUUGCAUUCUCCAAGGAAUCAAAGUGAAGCCCUUUAAAGAAUUAACUACUUGAGCUCAUGACAUGGAGUUAAGUAUGGAAACUAUUACAAAUCAAGAACCACAUGAGCAAGUAAUCCAGAAUGGGAGCAAAAUUUUAGCUGACAAUGAAGAUUACCAAUCUAUGGUCAUAAAUGUGAACUCUAUUUCUGCUCAAGUCAAAGGUGCAAUAAGAGUCACACUAAAUGAGAAGCAAGAAAAUAAGUACUAUUUUCUUAAUGUUGAUGUUCCAAACAUGCUUAAAGAACUUUUAAAAGAUAAGUUGAUUUGGUUGCCAAAAAUGAAGCGACCUAAAGAAGUUAAUCGAGUAGUUGAUCCCAACUAUUGUUAAUAACACUAUUUGAUUAGUCAUCCUCUCAAUAGGUGCUCAGUGUUGAAAGAAAAAAUCAUGCAACUUCAUGAAGAAGGGAAAGUCAAGUUUGAAGAAGUAGCAUCAUCAAGCUUGACAACAACCACUAUGGUUUCUCAAUCCAUUAUGAUGGAUAGAACCAUAAAAUUUGGCUAUUUCAAUCCUAUUACAUCGGUUCCAAGCAUAAGGAAGAUGGUGGAUUUCCAAAUUAUUAGGGGUAAUCAAUUGUUUCUUGGAUAUCUAAACAAUCAUGGUUGGACUCUAGCCACAUGUUAAAGAAAACAAUAACAAGUAAUGCUCCUAGGCAUGAGCUUAAACUAUCACAUUACUCCUAAACACAAGCUUAAACUAUUCAUAUAAUGCUUCUAGGUAUGAGCCUAAACUAUUUAGUCCAAAAAUGAUGCUGAUGAGCACAAGGUUAAGCUGGACAUCCAAAUUUAUAAAUAUAUAUAACUACAUCAUGACUUGGUCCUUUAGAAAACAAGGUAUGUAGACAACUUGGUUUUGUCGUCAAGUUAAGUCACCACCACACCGCAAAAAAAAAAGACUCUUGGAGUCGAACUUCAAAGUGCACAAAUUUCUAGAACUGUUCUCCAUGGGCACCACAUGUUCUUGCCAUGUUGAGGCUGCACAAUUCAGAUCGACAUGAGGUAUUGCAAGUUCUAUCUCUCACCAUGUUGAUUGAUGGUUAUGAUUGAUGCUCCCUUUAUGAUAUAUAUGGUUUUAGACAGAUCAUCAAGCAAGUGAAUAGAUUCCUUUGAUAUGCUUGAAAACAUCUUACCUUGGAAAAAAAAGUUUGAUCACCAAAUCUCAUCCAUACGUUUUAUGACUUUAGGAUUUUGAAAAGAAACUAGUGCCCAAGCCUUAUGUUGCAAGAUUGAUGAGAGAUCCCACUAUCUUGACAUUACUUUUAUAAAUGAAGAAAAAGUUUUCUACAUGAUCAAGGACUUUGACUUUUAAUUGUUGGAGAGUUCUAAUCAGGAAUUAAAUCUUUAUUUGAAUUAAUAUUUAUUGUUUUGAAGUCAUAAUAAAACCUCAACUUUGAAAAGGUUUAUAAUUGAAAAAUUAGAUGAUGCCAAGAUUAUUUUUCAUAGGAAGCUUGAUGAUGCAAAAAGAAAAUUACACAAAGAAAUAUGAUGUAGUAGUGGGGGAGAUUGUCNNNNNNNNNNNNNNNNNNNNNNNNNNNNNNNNNNNNNNNNNNNNNNNNNNNNNNNNNNNNNNNNNNNNNNNNNNNNNNNNNNNNNNNNNNNNNNNNNNNNCGUAUAUAUAUAUAUAUAUAUAUAUAUAUAUAUAUAUAUAUAUUAAGUUUUUACUUUCAAUAAAUUAAGUUUUGAUAUGAAUAUAUAUUAAGUUUUAAUUCUAAGCUAAAAAAGUAAUCUUUUUUGCUUCAAAAUGAAAAUAAAAUAAUUUAAAAACUGUAAUCUUAUUUUUUGCAAAAUAAAAAUAAAAUAAUUAAAUUAAAUUCUAGUUGGGUCAGAGUCGGAUCUCUUAUUAAAUUUCGGGUUUGGGGUGAGUUUUUUUCUUAAAAUUCAGGGUUGGGGCGGAAACCUCAAGUUUCGAGUCAGGUUCGAGGUGAGCAAAAAUCCACCUCACCUCGUUGCCAUCCUUACUCAUAACUAUUGCAUCAUGCAAAACAUUUUAUUUAAAAAAAAUAGAGAUGGUAAAUUAGCAAAAAUAUGAGGGUGGGUCGCAAUGUUGGCAUGAAAUUCAAAUCAAAUUUCAAGAUUUGUUCACUGGUUAUAAUAAAAAAAUUCAUGUAUUGACCAGAUUUUAAGGGUCGAAGUACCAUUUGUGAAGUCAAAAUUAUUGUGGGUUAAAACUAGAAUAACCUGAAAAUGAUGGGAUCAUAUGUGGAUCAUAAUUUUUUUCUUUAAUUAAUUUAAAUUAAUUAAGAGAUAAAUAAUAAAAAUUUAUAUAAUUAUUAAUUAUGUAACAAUCCGAUUUUCAAUAGUACUGGAAAAGGUGGUUUCAGUAUCUCAUUUUCAUAAACCGAGCCCAUAAAUAUUAAAUAUAAACAUUUACGAAGUUGGUAUAAAAUAAUCUUAAAGUUUGGCCCAUCAAUUUUUUUAUUAAUUAUUUAAUUUAGGUAUAGUGACUAAAUUGUAAAAAUUCAAUUGCUAGAAGUUUUUAAUUGGCUAAAGAUUUAGGGGCUUAAAUUGCAAUUAGCCAAAGGUAAAAUUUGACAAUUAAAGCAUUUUAGAACAUGUAUUAGUGGGUGUUGGUGGAUUAAACAUUAAAACUUGGUUAGUGAGUUAAUUAGUAUGGUUAAGUAAAAUUUAUCAUUUUCAGAAGAAGUUGUUUCUAAGAGAGUCUCAAUUAUGUUUUAUUCUAUUUUUUCAUCUAGAUUUAAAUUAUUAAAUUUUCUUUUAGUUUUGCAAUAUUUUGAGAUCUGUCCCGGUUUUCCACAUCUACAACAUUUUAUUGUUUUAUCUAUUUUGUUUUUUGUUUUUUGUUGUUUCUUUUCUUUUCUGUAAUUUCUAUAUUUGGGUUUUUUUUAUAAUAUUCUGAAAUAUUCUUUCUCCUAUUUUUUGGUUUUACAGGGCAACAUGUUUUUGAAGAAUAAGGUAAGGUUCAUUUCUAAUGUCAAAUUGGUGGUAGAAUGAUCCUAAUAUUAUAAAAAAAAACCCAAAUAUAGAAAAUACAAAAAAGAAAAGAAACAACAAAAAACAGAAAACAAAAUAGAUAAAACAAUAAAAUGUUAUAGAUGUGGAAACCCAGGACACAUCUCAAAAUAUUGCAAAAGUAAAAGAAAAAUUAAUAAUUUAAAUCUAGAUGAAGAAAUAGAACAAAAAAUAAAUGAGAUUCUCUUAGAAACAACUUCUUCUGAAAAUGAUACAUCUACCGAAACAGAUGAAUUACAAAUAGAUGAGUUACAUACAACAUCUCAAUCUUCUGAUGAUGAAAAUGAACCUUCAAGUAACAUUUUAACCAAAGACUAAGAAUUCAUGAUUGAAUUUAUUGAUAAAAUUAGAAUACCUUUUGAAAUUAAAAUAUUCGUUAAAAGAUAAACCAUAAAAAGAAAAAGAAAUUAUUUCUAGUCAAUCACAAAUGUACAAUAUACAAGAUAUAAUGUUUAAUAAAUAUGAAAAAAUAAAACCCAGACAAAUUACAAAUUCUGAAUUACAAUUGGAAAUAAAAAAAUUAAAUUGAAACUUGCUCAACUUAAAUGGAACAACAAGAAAUGAAAAAACAAGUGCAAACCUUAAAACAUGAAAUCCCAAAAAAUAGUUCGUCAGAAAUUGAACUCGAACCUAAAGAAAAUACACAGGAAUAUAUAAUGGUUCUGACUAAAGUUUCUAUCCAAAGAUAUUUAAUAAAAAUAAAUAUUGUUAUAAAUAAUGAAUUUCAAAUAGAAACAAUAACCCUUUUUGAUACAGGAGCAGACCAAAACUGUAUUAGAGAAGGGAUAAUUCCAACAAAAUAUUAUGACAAAGCAUCAGAAUUAGAGGUGAUCAUGGGCCGGGCCGGGCCCAGAAAAAAAUUUAGGCUCGAUUUCUAGGCCGGCCCGAAAUAUGGACCUAAAAAUUUGUCAAAGCCUGGCCCGAGAAAAUUGCUAAGCCCGAGCUCGGCCCGGCUCGGCCCAUAUUAAAUAUAUAUUUAAUAUAUAUAUAUAUAUAAUAUUUGAUUAAAAAUAAAACAAUAUAUAUUUGAUUAAAAAUAAAAAUAUAUAUUUAAUAUAUAAUUCAGCCAAAAAAGUUUUACCCGAGUCCGGCCCAUUUUCUAAACGGGCCUCAUUUUUUUGCCCAAACCUAUAUUUCGGGCCUAUAUUUUUACCCGAACCCUCCCAUUUUCGGGUGGGCCGUCGGGCCGGGCCGGGUAGUCCAACCCAUGAUCACCUCUAAUCAGAACCUCUUAAAGCUGCAAACGGUAAAAAACUAAAAAUUACUUCCACAAUUCCCAAUACAGAAAUCUGCAACAAAGGUAUAAAAUAUCAAACAUGUUUUCUAAUGGUAAAAAACACUACCCAAUAUGUCAUAUUAGGAACUCCAUUCAUAUCCUUACUCAAACCAUAUAAAGUAACAAAUAGUUCAAUCUCUACCAAAGUUUUAAACGCUAAAGUAGAAUUUCCUUUUGUAGAAAAACCCAAAAUAAGAAAUCUCAACUUAUUAAAUUCUUUAUCCAUCCAUGAUGGGCAAAUCAAUAAUUUAAUUAAUCAUAAACAGAAACAAAUCUUUUUUCUAAAAGAAGAAAUAUGUUUUAAAAAAUUGACUGAACAAUUAGAAAAAAGAGAAGUCCAAAAAAGGAUAAAUCAAAUCAAAGAAGAAAUAGAAUCAACAAUUAGUUCCGACAUUCCUAAUGCUUUUUGGAAUAGGAAAAAAUACGAAGUAGCAUUACCGUAUGAAAAUAAUUUUGAUGAAAGACAAAUACCCACAAAAACAAGACCAAUACAAAUGAACAAAGAAAUGAAAGAAUUUUGUAAAAAAGAAAUACAAGAUCUUCUUAAUAAAAAAUUAAUUAAGAAAAGCAGUUCUCCUUGGAGUUGUUUAGCAUUUUAUAAAAAUUACAGAACUCGAAAGAGGAACGCUAAGAUUAGUAAUUAAUUACAAACCUCUUAAUCAAGCCUUAAAAUGGAUUAGGUACCCAAUACCAAAUAAAAAAGAUUUGUUACGGAAACUUUGUAAUGCAAAUAUUUUCUUAAAAUUUGACAUGAAAUCUAGAUUUUGGAAAAUCCAAAUAAAAGAAGAAAAAAAAGAUAUAAAACGAAUUUUACUGUACCAUUUAGACAAUAUGAAUGGAAUGUAAUGCCUUUUGGAUUAAAAAAUACUCCAUCCGAAUUUCAAAGAAUAAUGAAUGAUAUUUUUUACCAAUAUUCUCAAUUCACAAUAGUAUACAUCGAUGAUGUAUUAGUGUUCUCAGAAAAUUUAGAAAAACACUUCAAACAUUUAUCCAUCUUUAUAAAAUUCAUAAAAGAUAAUGGUUUAGUAGUUUCUAAAUCCAAGAUAAGUUUGUUCCAAACCAAAAUAAGUUUUUUGGGUCAUUACAUUACCCAAGGAACCAUUACCCCAAUAGAAAGGUCCAUAGAAUUUGCUAGCAAAUUCUCAAACUAAAUCUUUGAUAAAGUCUAAUUACAAAGAUUCUUAGGAAGCCUCAAUUAUGUCAUAGACUUUUAUCCAAGUCUUACCGAAUUAUGUAAACUAUUAUAUGAUAAGCGUAAAAAGAAUCCAAAACCUUGGACAAAUGACCACACCAAUAUUAUCCCCCAGAUUAAAAAACAAGUUACUAAGCUUCCUUGUUUAUAUUUAGCUGAUUCAAAUGCCCCCAAGAUAGUAGAUGUAACAGCUUGUUUUCAGUGAAAUCGGAACAGUGGUUUAAGAACUAAAAAUCUGAGUUUGGAAGAAAAUUUAUUUUAAUAUUAUUUUAUGGUCUAUCGUAUGAUAGGAAUAUCGUAUAAAAAAUUUGCUAAGAAAAUUUUACCGAUUGCAUGAUUAAUUGAUAAAAGGACCAAAUUGCAUAAAAUGCAAAAGUUGAAUUCUAGUAGCUAAAAGGAUCAAAUAGCUAUGGAAUUCAAAAUUGGAGGUCCUUAUAUGAAAAAUAGACCAUUAAGAGGAGUUAGUAAAUAAAGAUGAUGAUUCAUCCAUGGAAAAUUAAAUAAAGAAAAUGACUAAAUUGGAAAGAUAAAAUAAUAAAAGAUGAUAUUUUAAUUAAAUAAGAAAUAUCAUCAUUUUAUAUCAUCUUUCCCAAAUAAAAACAUGGAAACCCUAUUUUCGAAGAGCUUGAAGAUAGCAAGUUAUUUUGGCUCAAUUAGGUAUGUUUUCUUGUCCCGUUUUUAGUAUUUUUUAUAUUUCCAAGAUCGUAAUAGCUUAAUUUAGCUAUCUCAGGGAUUAAUUUGUAAAGUUAUCAAAUUACUAGCAUUUUUCCAUGGAUGAAUAUAGUUAAAUUAUGAAGUUUUAUGGUAGAAAAUGAAAUGUUGUUGAUAGAUAAAUAACUUUUGUAAAGGGAAUUUAGAUGAAAUUAUGAUUUAGGGACUAAAUUGAAAAGUUGUAACAUUCAUGAAAAAAUUUUGAAUUUUAUGAAAUACAUAAGCUGCUAUUGUGAUAUGUAAAAAUUAGUUAGGCUUGGAAUAAGGAUUAAAUUGCAAGAAUUUUAUUUUCCGAGCCUAGGGACGAAAUCAUAAUUAAAUAAAAGUAUAGGGGCAAAAUGGUAAUUUUUCUUAAGAUGUGAAUUGGAUUGAAUUGAGUAUGAAUUGUAUUAAAUUGAGCUAAAUUUACUCGUAUAGAUCCGGAUAGACCAAAUACGAAAUUGAAUCGAGGAAAAGAAAAAGUAUUGCAAGUUAUAUGGCUCGAGAGAGGGCUUCCCGAUUAUGUGCUCAAAUGAGCAUCCUUGAAUAUGAAUUGACUGAUUUCAGAUUCGUACACUUUAUGUGUAUUACCUUUGUAUCCAUCGAUAUUUUAAAUGAUUCAACGGUAAAGUUCCGAUAUUAGAUGAUAUGAAUUCAAGAUGAAUUACUAUGAGAAAUACUUGAAAUACAAAGAUAUGAUAUAUACAUGUUCAUGGAUACUUGAAGUGAUAAAUACAUGAAUGUGGAAAUUGAAUAAUGAUGAGCUCAUUUAUGUUUCUUGGUAUUUAUGUGAAUUACAUGACUAACAUGUUUCUUGAGAUUAUAUGUUUUUAGGCAAAUUGCCAAAUUGUUUGAGUAUGCUUUGAAUAUUUACCUUAAUUGUAAUUGAAUGGUAAGUCAAUUUCCCGUUAUACGAACUUACAAAGGGCCAGUUCUUCAUUGCUUAAAAAAAGCACUUCUGAUUCCAAAAGCACUUUUAAAAGAAAAGCUGUGAAGAACAAGCUGCUUUUGGCUGAAAUUUUUAGCUUUUCAGAAGUGCUUUUGAAAAGCACUUCUGAAAAGGAGCUGAAAAGGAGAAGCUAAAAAUUUUAGCUUUUCCUCUCCCAAAAGCACUUUUGGUGCUUAAUUACUUUUUCACCCUCCAAUAACAUAGUAUUUUUCUUUUUUUUUCUUGGUGCUUAAUUACAAUUGUGUUAAAAUCAUUAAUUAAAAAUAAAAAAUAUUUUUUAAAAUACUAAUUACAAAUAUUUAAUGGUUAUAUUUAAAUAUUUAAAAUAUAGUUUAUAUAUUCUAAUUAAAUUUUAUAAAUAAUUAAUAUUUAUUGCUUAAAAAUAUUUAAAAUUUAUAUUUCAUAUAUUAAAAUAUUAACAAUAAGUUAUAAUAAUUUUUUUAUAUUCUUACUAAAAUAUAAUAAUAUUAACUAAUUUAAAUAUUAUUUAAAUGCAUAUUUUUUACUUGACAAUAACAUGUCUAAAAUGAACAUUUUAUGUUUCAAAAGCACUUUUGACAGCAAUGCUAGACUUUCAAAUUUUGAACCAAACUUUUCAAAAGCACUUCUCAAAAGCACUUUUCCACAACACUUUUCAAAAGCAAUGAAGAACGGGCCCUAAGUAUAAAAUGCUUACUCUGUUUUAUUUCCUUUGUUUAUAGUAGCUCGGAAGCUCGUUAAGGUUGGAAGCUGGUCGGAAACACAUCACACUAUCCAUCGGCUCAUUUCGGUAUAAAUAAUAAAUUAAUUUUGGUUAUAAUGGCAUGUAUAGGUUUAAAUAGCCAAUGUUGACAUAUAAAUGUUUUGGAUGUAAUUAGCCAUUGGAAUGACUUUGUGAUGAAUCUGUUUUGAUUUAUAUAUAUAAGAUAAUGUCAUGUUUGAUGUGAGUGUUUAGUAUGGUUAAUUGAUAGUAAACUUCUUAAGCAUGUCUAUAUGUAUUUUUGGUCAAAUAGGUAAGUUUGGAUAUAUGAAUUUAUAAAGUGAUAUGUCAAGCAUAAGACUUGAUUUUGGCUCGAUUUAAAUGUCUUGCAUUGGCCUGUGAAUGUGUUAAAGUGUUUAUGUAGGUGGAAGACAAAUUGGGUGAGAAAAUUGACCUUGAAAAUGGUCUAUUUUCAUCCACACGGGCAGAGACAUAGGCGUGUAUCUCAGCCAUGUGUGACACACGGCCUAGCAUAUGGGCGUGUGAUCUGGCCGUGUGUCCCCUGCAUCUUUAAAAUUCAAUACAAAAUGCUCAAAAUUGAUCACACGGCCUGGCACACGGGCGUGUGGCUUGGCCGUGUGACCUAAGUCAGAGAGUUACACGAGUACUAAAAAUGGCUGGAACACAGCCGUGUGCCCUAUUUCGAAUGCCCACAAGGCUUGACCACACGGGCGCGUAUCCCCUGCACCUUGGAAAAAUGUUGAGAUUUUUUGAAAAAUUAUCUCAGUACCUAGUUUAGUCCCGACUUAUUUCUAAUGUAUGUUUUGGGUCUCGAGGGCUCAUAUAAGGGACUUUAUGAAUAAUAUCUUACAUGAAUGUUAAAUAAUAUGAAAUGUCUGUAUUUGAUCUGUUUAUUCCGGUAAUGCUUUGUAACUCUGUUCCAGCAACGGAUAUGGGUUAGGGGUGUUACAGUAGAAACAUAUGCUUCUGAAAUAUGAUACGGUGAGAUGCUAAAACAAGUUAAAGGGGGAAAAGGGCAAAUAGUCCAGUUUACUUCCAGACAUUAGAAUCUAACUCAACAAAAUUAUAGUACUAUUAAAAAGAAAAUUUAUCAAUUGUUUUAUACAUUACAAAAUUCCAAAGUGAUUUAUUAAAUCAAAAAUUUCUUUUACGAAUUGAUUGUAAAUCAACAAAAGAAGUUUUACAAAAAGAUGUUCAAAAUAUUGCCUCAAAAUGGAUUUUUGCAAUAUGACAAGCAAUUUUGAGCAUAUUUGAUUUUGAUAUUGAAUACAUCAAAGGAGAAACAAUUUAUUUGCCUGAUUUUCUCACCAGAGAAUUUCUUCAAAAAUGCCACCUAAACUCCGAGACAAAGGAAAAGGAAAAAUAGGAGAGUCGUCUAAAACCCAAAUUUCCUCAAAACCAAUUAAGUCAUGGUAUGAAAUUUGCUGUGAAGAAGAAAAUGAAAGAUCAUCAUCCUCAUCAAAGUCUUCCAAAAAUACAAUUGUUCAAGAUACACAAGAUCCAAAUGAAAUUUGUUCUUAAAUCAAAAAAUGGAUUGAGUCCCUUUCUCAAUCUCCAUAAGUGGCAUUGGCCUUUUUUUCAAAUGAAAGAGGAAACUCCUUUCAAGCAAAUUGAUGGUGAAGCAGCAAAGAUUUCAAAAAAAUAAAGAGACUGUUUUACUCAAACCGAAAUCUCUCAAAAAUAUUUUAAAAAAGACAUCUUUCCAAGAUGUUUUUUCGAAGUAGCAGUGUCUUCACAGUCUGCUACACAAAAAUCCUCAAUAUUUUCUAGACAAAAGUUUUGAAAAUUUUCUUAUUAUAGAGGAAGAAUUUUCAAAAAAACCUCCACAUAUACUUGCAAAAGAACUUUUCAAUGGAUAAUAUUUCAAGCCAUUGGAUUCUUAAAAACCUCAGCAGUGUUAUGAAAACAUACUGGUUCAAACUAGAUGAGUAUUGUUCAAACACUACAUAGACCCAAAAGAUCCAAACUUAGUUACCCAUUCAACAGCCCAAAUAUUAAAAAAUUUUCGACCAAGGGAUUGGGGUUAAAACCCAAUUUAUCCAAAGAAAUUUCCAGCCAAAUUUACCACCAAAAUUGACCACUACCCAUAUUUCACAUAUUGGGAUUACCAAAUGGCAUGGUACAAUGCCUUCUUAAUGAACAACCAACAUAUGAGACAUUCUUGGCUCAUAUAUUUCAAAUAUGGUACCCAAUUCAAAUUCCCAAACUAGUUCCAAGAAUGGUGGAAUUGUUAUGGACCGUCAUCUUUGGAGAUCCUUCCAGAAAAAAAAUUUAAAACUUAUGGCCCAAAUUCUUUGACAAAUUUCAACCUGAACCAAACCAAAAAUACAUUUACAGAACAAUCCAUUUUUUUUCUCAAAACUGUGCAUUUCUUGAUUAAUCUCAAAACUCCUAUAAACAAGAUUCAUACACUGGAAUUCCAUUAUUAAUCUGAAACUUCAAAACUAAAUGGUGGGAAAAUUUUAAUAAUGAAAAAUAUGAUUCAAAAUAUUUGGAUAAUUUUUUCAACAAGAAUCCAAGAUUAUGUAAGUUCGCAGCCCCGAAUCAAACCACAACAAAAUUUCUUCAGGCAAAAUUAACAUGUAACACACCAAACCCGGCCUAGACGUUAUGGCCGAAUUCGGGAGUGUUACGAAGAAGGGUUUUGAAACCGAUAAAACUUCUAUAAAACAAUAUUUAGUUAUUUGAUAAAACAUCCAAGUUUUAUAAAACAUAUUCAUUUAUAUAUAUUACUGAAACCGUUACAUGUUGUUCUUUAGGGUUAACCAAUUAUUUCGCAGCGGAUGUUUUAAAAAUUGUUUAAGACAAACCACGCUCGUGUUUUAAAAAAUAACAUUUGUUCGCGUAAAAUCGAUAUUUUGUUGAAUCAUUGUAGUUUAGAAAUCAUAUAUCAAUAAAACCUAAAAAUUCAAACGAAACAAUCCAAAAAGUCCGAAUAGUCCAAAAAUUACAAAACUCUCACGAAAACUGAAAAUUCAGUAAAAUCAUUAAAUAAUAAUCAUGAAAACAAUUUUUGUCAAGUGGUCCCCGUUGAGACUCCGUCGUACCGACCCGCCUAUGUCUGUGGAUUACCUGAACAAAACAGACAAACAGAUGUGAGUUUUCGUAAACUCAGUUUGUAACCCAAUAGAGAUAGUCAUGCAACAUACACAGAAUUACAUAUACAGUCAGAUACAGAUUCAGACCUAAGCCCAUAACAGAAACAUAUAUUAGAAUCAGAUAACAAAACAGGCGUACAUAAUCCUACCCCCAUCCUCUGCACACCAAUUCCGUCCAUCCCAUCACACCAUGUGGGGUUAAAAAACACUCAUCCAUCCCUACACACCAUAUUGUGUCGAUGCGACACAUAACAGAUAAUAUGCAGUCAAGCUACCAAAAUAGAGGCGAAAGGUCGAUGUACAUAUCACUUCCUCUCCAUAUACAAAUCUCACCCCAAACACAGAUAUAGAAUACAGAUGCAAAAAUUCCAAAAUAAACAUGUUUAACUUGCUCGUAUACAGAUAAAUACAUACUUAACAGUACAGUCAGACAUACUUAUCAAUUUUCUACUCAGAUCAGACUAUCAGAGUAUCAAAUUACAUGAAAUACGGUUUGGUUAGCCCUUACCAACCUUACGAUAGGCUUACAGUCGAUCGAAACGACCCGUAUUGUAACAACCCGAUUUUUGACCCUAAUCGAAACAGUGGUUUCGGGACCACAAAUUCGAGUCCUAAAAAUAUUUUAAUAUUUUAUUCUGUGUUUAUUAUGUGUCAAUUUACAUGUGUGAAAGUUUCGUGAAUUAAUUUUGUUGUUUGAGUGUCGAUUUAAUAAAAAAAGGGCUUAAUCGCGUAAAAUAAAAAUUUGAUGGUUAAAUAAGAAAAUGCCUAAUUGUUGUUGUCUUUAUAAUUUGGAGGCCUUAUGUUAAAAUUUAGCCAAUAUUAUAAGGUAGUGGACGGCAUAUUGUUUUAUUAUAUGUUUUUUAUACAUUAAAAAUAAAAGUUAAAAAUGAUAAUAUUAUAAUAUAUGUUAUAAUAAUAAUAAUGAUAAUAACAAAGCCAUUAUCAUAUCAUCUUCUUUCACUUUCGAAACUAGAGAAAGAAUAAAAUAUAAAAGCUUGGCUAGGGUUCGGCCAUUGUUGAGCUAGAUUAAGGUAUGUUUUGGUUUCAGUUUUUAAUAAUUUUUAUGUUUUUGAGAUCGUUGCUAUGAAAUCUACAAAGCCCAUGCUUAAUUUUUGAAUGUGAUGAUGAUUUUAUGUCUGGCCAUUGUUGAAGGCUUGUUGUUUUUGUUGUUAGAUGAUGGGAAAUAAAUAUAUGUUGUUAGAUUUUCAUGUUAUAAUUAGUUAUUUUUUAUAAAAAUGUGUAUUAAGGACUAAAUUAUGAAAAUAUUAAAUUGAGGGACUAAAAUGUGAAAUAAAUGACAUGCAAGGAUCUAUAUGAGACUAGGGAGUAUUCGACCAUACUAUAGUGUAAUUAAUUUGGAAUAUUUUGUGUUUUUGUACAAUUUGGACUAAAUUGUAAAAAAUGUGAAAUGUCAGGGAAAAAAUAUAAUUUUCCCAUUUAUGUGUUCUUAGACUAAAUUAAAUGAAAAUAUGUUUAAAUGAGAUUUAUUUGAAUAUGUUUAGAUCAAGAGACCAAGAAAUCGAAUUUAGAUCGGGGGAAAUCGAAAGUAGUUGAGUAGCCGAUCUAUUAGUCGACGACAUCCGAGGUAAGUUAUUAAGCAUAUAUUUUGUAUCGUUUUAAAUCAUCUUAGUAUCUAUGUAAUUAUGCUGAAUUGAAUGGUAUAUAUAUACAUGUAGUGAUAAAAUUAUUGAAAUAAGAUGUAUUGAGUUGUUGAUUUUCGGCACUAAGUGUGCGGGUAUAAAAAUUUAUGAUAAUGAGAUUAGCACUAAGUGUGCGAGUUUAAUUGUAAAGCACUAAGUGUGCGAGAUUGAUUAUUAAGCACUAAGUGUGCGAGUUUGAUUAUUAAGCACUAAGUGUGCGAACUUAUUAAAUAUUUUCGAACACCUAUUAGUAUUGAGUGUUCGAGUUAUUGAGUAAUCAUGAUUAGUAUAAUGAGUAAAUACUUGGAGUUCUUGAGUAAUAACCAUUAUGGUUGUAUCCAAAGUUGAGCUUUGUAAGUAUUAAACCUAUGUGGUGAUUAUAUUUGGAAUCAAAUAUAUAAGAUGAUUCUUUAUAUCACAUGAUGAUGAAAUGCAUAAUGUAUUUGGCCUUAUAUUUAAAUUUGAAGAAUUGUUUAUGGUUGAGUACUUAUAUUGAUUUUAGUUAAAUCAUAGUAUUAAGUUAAUAAUUAUCUUAUGAUAUGGUAAGCUAAAGGUAAGAUGAUUUAGUAGUAUGAAUUGGUUAAAUAUUAUUCGAGAUAUCAAGUUAAAUUGUAAAGUUUAUUUGCUUGUAACUUGCUAAGCUAAAUUAGCUUACAAUGUGUUGGAUAAUUGUUUUGAUGUAUAGAUUUUGGUGAUCGCUACGUGUUCGGGGAUCGUCUGUGAAGCUUGUUACACUAUUGUCUAUAUUUUGGUACUUUACUAAGUUGUUUUCGAAUAAAUGGCAUGUAUAGUGUAGUGGAAAUGUUGAUUUUGGAACUAAUGUAUAUAGGUGUAAUUAAUAGCCAUGCGAAAAUGGCUUAUUUCUUUUGGUUUGAAUUUGGUAUUAAUGCAUAUGCUUUAAUGGUCUAAAAUGUAGUAUAUGUUCAUGUUAUUUUAAUGCUUAAAUGCUGCCCAAAUUGUUAUAUAUAUGCUGUCCAAAUUUUGGUGUAAAAAUGUUGCUCAAUUUGGUAUAUAUAUGCUGCCCAAUUUGUUGUAUAUAUGCUGCCCAAUUUUUGGUGUAAAAAUGCUGCUCAAUUUAUUGUAUUUAUGCUGCCCAAAUUGUUGUAUAUAUGCUAUCCAAUUUUGAUGUAAAAAUGCUGCUCAAUUUGGUAUAUAUAUGCUGCCCAAUUUGUUGUAUAUAUGCUGUCUAAUUUUUGGUGUAAAAAUGCUGCUCAAUUUGUUGUAUUUAUGCUGCCCAAAUUGUUGUAUAUAUGCUGUCCAAUUUUGAUGUAAAAAUGCUGCUCAAUUUGGUAUAUAUAUGCUGCCCAAUUUGUUGUAUAUAUGCUGUCUAAUUUUUGGUGUAAAAAUGCUGCUCAAUUUGUUGUAUUUAUGCUGCCCAAAUUGUUGUAUAUAUGCUGUCCAGUUUUGAUGUAAAAAUGCUGCUCAAUUUGGUAUAUAUAUACUACCUAAUUUGCUGUAUAUAUGCUGUCCAAUUUUUGGUGUAAAAAUACUGCUCAAUUUGUUGUAUAUAUGCUGCCCAAAUUGUUGUAUAUAUGCUGUCCAAAUUUUGGUGUGAAAAUGCUGUCUAGUUUGGUAUAUAAAUGCUGUCCAAAUUGAUGUAUAAGAGCUGUCCAAACAGGGUAGAUUACCUAUGUUGUAAUAUGUAGUAUAGUUAGUACGUUGAAAUGAAAUAUGUGUACAAAUAAAUGUUUGGAUAUAAUGCUUGAUUUAUGAUAUUUAAUCAUAUAUGUUUGGAAAUGUUUUAAGAAUUUGAAUGAUAUUAAAUUUUGAUUAGGUAAAUGAUAAUGAUAUGGUUGAAAUUUUGAAACAUGGUUAGUAUAUGUAAUUUGAUUAUUGAUGCAUGUUUGAUUUUAACUGGUUAUGUGCUUAUAUAUAUAUGGAAUGAAAUUUCGUGGUUGAGAUAGUAUAAUUUAUGAAAAAAAAAAUUCUAAGUUGGGUUUUGAUCAGUAAUGCCUCGUAACUCUAAUCCGGCGACGGACACGGGUCGGGGUGUUACACGUACGACCCUAGGAAAAAUUUUAGAAUUUUGGGUCCACAUGCCCGUGUGGGCCCACAUGCCCAAAUUGGCCUUACCCGUGUGGCCCACACGGCCUGGUCCAACCCACAUGCCCGUGUGGCUCAGUCGUGUAGGUCCACAUGCCCAAUUCGGCCUUACCCGUGUGGCCCACACGACCACACAUUCACCGUCACAUGGCUAUGUCUCGCGCACGACCACACCUACAACAGUCACACGGUCGUAUCUCGUACACGGCCACAUCUACGAUAGUCACAUGACCGUGUCUCGUACACGGCCAUGGACACGUCCAUGCACACGUCCAUAUGAUGUCGACAACCCCCUUUUUCAGCUUUUAUUGAACCUUGAUUUUUUGUGUUUAGGGUACACACCUGAUUCGAUUUUGAUGCUAUAGCAAUCCCGAGUCCACCAAAACCUAAAAACAACAUUCUAACGAUCAAUUGUAAGUACCGAAACACCAAUUAUAAAAAACUCAAUCGACAUACUUGAACGUAGUACACAAACCAAAAGUUCGAUCACUUACCAGAACAGUUACGACAGACCUAACGCUUUACACGAUAGACAAAGAAUUUCGAUCCCCUUGUUUAGCACCUAACACCAUAAUACAUAACAUUAACGCAACCGAAAACGACCUACAAUCGCACAAAACUUCAAGACCAAUUACCAACCACAAUCCGAGUAGGGAUCACAGAACCAAAACGCAAAGAUUGAUGACAGUUUUUGAACGAAAAAGGAGAAGGUAGCGAAAAGAAGGAAAAAAAAGAAAGUACAGAGAAAGGGGAAAACAAACUAACGUCAAUUUCUUAUUGGAAGAGAGAAAACAAAUUUGAAAAAAAUAAAAUAAAAUAAUAUCCCUUAUCCCUCAAAUUUAGGCAUGACCUCUCACUAACCCAAUCCCAACUACCCACUCACUCAGACUUCCGAUUCCAUCCAAACUCUCUCAGCCAAUCGAAGCAAAAAUAUCAUCCACGCUCACGCAGGGACUCAAACACAAAACCUCAGCAAGCUAACUCCUUACCACUCAAACCAACAGGCUCAUUCUGAUAUGAGUUUACAAACAACAUUAUAAAAGCUCACCUAACAGGGAUAAGGCUUGGAUCAAAAAUAACAAAAUUUUCCAUAAAUGGGAUUUGAGCUCCAGACCUCACCUACACAUCUAAAAAACUUAACCAUUGAAGUAGGUACACAUUUAAUGUCAUGAUUCACAGAAACAAAAUUAAACUAUUCAGGGUGUUACACGACAGCUAGUGUGAUGUUUUCUCAAGCCAAUUAAAAUUGUAAUUAUGGUAUAAAAACCAUUUUUUGGUGGUAUGAAAGAGAAUUUUUCUCUUCUUUUUCUUCAAGAACUGUUCGCCAUAGAUAGGAAAAACAAGAAACACGUCCAAAGGGUUUCAAAUUUUGGCCAACAUUAGUUAAACUCAAUUAAGUUUUUUUGUUGUAAUUUUUAUCUUUUUGAUAUCAUGGGAACUUGAUUUAGCUAGACCAUGUACCAAUUUGCAAAAAUGUUAAAAUUUUUAAAAGUUUUCAUUGUUGAUUUCUUGAAGAAAUUAGUUUUAAAUUGAUAGCUUUUAAGCUUAUAUCAUGAAAAAAAACUAGAUUGUAAAGUUUAAUUGUUAGUUUUUCACAUAAGGAUUAAAAUGAAUAAAAUGUGAAAUUUCGGUAUAAAUAUGAAGUAGAGAGUCCUUAAGAGGUGUAAUUGAAGUCCAUUUUUAAACUGAGGCUCAAAAUGGAAAGUUAUGGCUAUUUUGAUUUCAAAGACUAAAUUGAAUAAAAUGUAAAUCUUUAUAGUUUUGAAAAAUGAGAUUUUUAUAAGUUCAUACAUGUCAUGACAUAAUGUAUCAAUGUUUAGUAUUGAUGAAUUGAAUGAAUAAUUGUAUAGAUUAAGAAUUGAAACAAAUUAGAGAUAAUCGAGAAAAAGCUAAAAUUGUUGAUUAGUCCUUGAAGAUUCAACUUGUUUGGUGUUCUGAUUAUGUAUUUUUAAUUAUGUAUGAAUUAUACUUGAAUUAACAUAUAUAUACACAUACUUGUUAGAAUUGAGUAUAAUUAUGAAAAUUGGCACAAAUGUCUUGUAUUGGACUGAAUUGUAAAUUCGUGUAAAUAUUGGUUGUAUGGAAAUAAGACAAGGUGUUAAUAUGAUUAUUGGUUAGCUAUAUGCCUCGUAAAUGAAAAAUGAAAUAUGUAUAGGAUUUGAUAUUGACAUUUAUAUGGAAGUAAUGCCCGAGUGAACUUAGUAAAAGGUUAUGUGUGGCAUGCCAUUAGGUUUAUACACAUAUUUGAUCAAGGAUUUACAUGUUAUUAAAAGAUCUAGCAUUUGUUGCAAAUUCUCGAGUUAAACGUAUUGUAGGUUUAGCCCGAACGAGUAAUCUCGAUAUAAUGUCAGCUUAUGUGAGCAAUCCGGUUAUAAUGUCAACUUAUGUGAGCAAUCCGGUUAUAAUUUCAGCUUGUGUGAGCAUUACACUCCCGUGCAUUUGGGUCUGCUUUACUAAAGUUCUACCGGGCGGUUUUCAAUUUUUUGAAAAUAUAAAUUUAACCAUUGAAUGGAAAAUGAAAUGGUAUUUGGCAAUAUUAGUGUAUGGAUGAUUACAUGACUUUGAUUUGGGUUUGAAUUAUCUAUGAUUUGAGAAGGCAUCUAAUGCAUUUGUUUGAUGUUGGUAUAUGUAUAGAUAUGUCACGAUGUGCCAAAGGAUAGUUAGAAUGAUUGCUUAAUGGAUCAGUUAAUUAUGCCUAAAUGAUCAAGGUAUGUUCUAGUUUCCAUUUGAACUUACUAAGCAUCUUAUAUGUUUACCUAGUUUGUUUUCCCUUUUCCUUGUAGAUUGUCACCUUGUGGAACACGUCAAGCCGGAUCGUUUCGAAGCUCAGACUACCCUAUCACCGGAUUAGUACCUAUUUGAUCAUUUUGAGUCAAAGAAUGUGGCAUGUAUAUAAGUGUUUUGGUGAAACAUGUAUCUAUUUGAACUUGGCAUAUUAAAGAUUGUGAAAAGAGGUAAAAGAAUGGCACAUUAAAGAUUGUGAAAAGAGUUGAUGUAUGCAUUGAAAUGGUAUGCUUGAUGAUUUUGCUUGAGGUAUAUGUUGAUGAAUGGUCAAUUUUGUUCAUGUUUAAUGUCAUAGAAGUGUUUAUGAAUGAAUUGUGUAUGAAUUGAAAGUGAAAUGGUAUGUUUUGAUAGAUUUGGCAUAGGUAAGGAUAGGUAUUUCUUGGUUGGCAUGCCUUAAUGACAUUGAAAUACUUAUGUUUAAUUGAUGUAUAUGGAGUAAAUGUCUUGUUAAGAAGUUGAAUUUGAGUGUUUUAAUGUGUUUGGUAUGUUACUGGUAUGUUUUGAAUCAAUUGAAGUUGGUAUUUGGUGAAUAUCUUGAAAGGAUUUGUUGGAAACUUUGGCAUAAGUACCAAAUUGUGCAUUUUUGCCAAAAACAAGGCCCAUGUCUCGAUGAACAACCUACCUCGUUGCAAUGUCAGUCAAAAGUAAGUGACAUCAUGACGUCGAGUGGCUUGAAGUCGUGACGUGACACACUAUUUUGGCAACGUCACGAUGUCAGCCCUGAACUUUUAAAUCUUUGCAAUUUGGUCAUAUUUUGUGCUCGAGUUAACAAAAGAGAUUUUGUAAGCUUGAUUAAGACUUGAAAAUUGAUUGUUUGACAUUGGAUUGCAUGUGUAAAAGAUCAUUUACUGUGUAUUUGACUAUAGUUGCUCCAGUAAUGAAUGUAGCAUCCGGUAGCUCGAAUUCAGUGAUCGGGUCAGGCGAGGGGUGUUACAAAUUAAAUUAACAUAAUUAAGUGAUAAUAUUAUAUGGUUAUUUUAUCUCUAAUUAAUUAAAUUAAUAAGAGAUAAAUAAUAAAUAAUAAAUAAUAAAUAAUAAAUAAAAGAGUUUAAUUCUUGUAGAACACUCAAAUGAAGAAGUUAAAAUCUACUAUAAGUCUCUUCAUUGACACUACAAAAUGGGUCAUCUCUAAGCCAUUCAAUAUAAGUUGACAAGUUCAAAAAGUCAAGAGGAUUUGCAAAAAUCUUUGGAAAAAAAAUGAAGAACUUGAAAAAAAAUCUAAAGGAAGUCGCAGUAGUUCUCAAGAAAAGCCACCUUUUGAAAGUUGUUGUUCGAUCCAAUUCAACUAAAGAAAGGAAGUCCGAACCCGUUUUCAAAAUCAAGUCUCAACAACCCUUGAAGCAAACCAUAUCUUUCCAAGAUCAAGUCAGAGGACCAUUAGAUCGAAGUCAAACUGGAGAGAAGAAUCAAAUGAUUUCUUUGUAUUUAAGAAACUUUCAGAGGUUGUAAUUUUCUUUUCAAUUUAUCAAUAAAAUUUUACUAUGAAUUUUCAAGUCAAAAUUCAACUUAAAAUUUGUGUGACAAAUAUUUAAAAAUUUAUUAAAAGACAAUGUUUAAAAAAAAUUAAAAACAUUUACUUUAAUCCCCCACAUAUUAUCAUGUUAAUAAAAUAAAAGUUUGAUAGAGAAACACCUACUAAGCGAAUAAAUAGUUUCCCCCUAUUUUAGUUAUUAAUUAUUAUAUUUAUGUAAGAAAAACUAAUGUAAUAAAUUUAUUCAUAAAAAAACUAAUUAACUCUAAGAAUAAUCAUCAAACCCACACGAAUCUCUUCUUAUAAUAUAUUUCAACAUUAAUAUAUGGUCACGGCCUAAUUUCACUUAUAGUCACUUCUCAACCCUUAAAUAGGAGGAUAAUACGCUUCGACACACUUGAGUUAUCGUCCUCCUACACUAACAAUAAUACCGAUAUCAAUCAAAUUAAAACUCAAUCAACUUUUCUUAUAACAUAUAAUCUUUGAUUAAAGCAGUUAAAUGGUAGAGGUGGCGGACUUGCCGCUGCCGAAAUUAGGCAUACUUGGUUCGGCAAAAACUAAAAGCAUAUAUAUGGUCACGGCCUAACUUCACUUAACUUAGCCCAAUCCCAACUCAUACCGCAACAUAACCACCCACCCAACUGGCAUUUGUUUGUCCAAAUUUUCAAUGGACCAGAUCUUAGACCCAAACAUAUAUGGUAAUGAAAGAGAGUGAAAGCCGGGGGGAGUUUGCCAAGGAGUCUGUCCAAAUAUGUUAAGUUGAUGGGUUGCUGGUUUUUAUAUCUCCAAACCCAACUUCCCCAAAACUCAAAUAAAUAUACUCAUUAUUCAAAACUCAAACCCUACCGAGCCAUGUUAAUCGAAUUGAAAUAAAAUAAUGCAACAGAGUACUCAAUUGAGCACAUGAUGUAAUAGGAGACAUCAUAGCUUAGAAAUUUCAUCCUUACGAAUUUUAUAAAAACUAAGACCUUAACAUAUACAUGAAUUUCAACUAUUAUUUUUAUUAAUUUUUUAUAUAUAAAUUAUUAAACUAUUGAUUUUUGUUGAACCAUUAAUUUUCUUUUAAAAAAACAAAGAGUAAUAAAUUUUAGAACAGUAAUUACAUCAAUAUCAUAUUGUAAAUUAUUCAGAACGAAAGUAUCAAUUUGUUGGGGAGGAGAAGCAAACUCAUGGAGAUCCAAUUAAUAGUCAAACAUUUUACCCGCUAAGGCAUUAGCCACUCCAUUAGCUUCUCUGUAAAUAUGCUCGAUGCGAAUCACCCCUGCUCAAGCGCAAAGCUCUUUUAUUCUGCAUAUCAAUACCCUGUUCAUUACGCCUUUAUAGUCACCAUUGAUUACUUGAACUACAAUUAAACAAUCACAUUCCAAGACAACCAUUUUUCACCCUUUAGACCAAAGCAAUUUAAGUCUAUUAUACAUUGCUCAAAGUUUUGCUUGUUUAUCACUACAUUUCCCAAUAUUGCAACCGUAGCCAAAUAUCCAUCUGUCAUGGUUGUCUCUAGCAAUCCCAGCUAAACAGGUAAGUCCAGUAUGAGGUUUCCUUGCGUCGUAUGUGUUCAUUUUGAUGCAACCAGCUAUUGGUAGCUGCCAAGUGCUUGGUCUGAUUCGGUUUUUAACCUUGACCAUUGGUUCUCUAUUAGCUUUAACAUUCACAGCCCAAUUCUAAGCCGAUCCCACAAGCAUACAAGAGUUAUGAGAAAAAAUUCCAAAAAUAAAAGAAUUCCUUCAUUUCCAUACAAACCAAUAUAGUAUAUCGAAGAGGAUAUUCCAAUUAACAUGAAUUGCAAAUUCAAUUUAGAUUAACAUUCACCCAAGAUAAAAGUGACGGGGAGAAAAAUCUGGAGUAAAUUAAAUUUGAAAUGAACUACUUCCAUACUUUCUGAGCUUUGGGACACUCGCAAAGUAUACGAAGAAACAUCCACAAAAACAGCAACCAGCGUCAUCCACAAAAUAAUCAAAAAAGCUCUAACAUAUGUAUAAUGCAGCAGAUUGGCACCCAAAAAUAAUGUACAAGUGGAAUGUGCCAAUGUGGUGAUGAAAAAUGAAAAUGGUAAAACCCUAAAAACAUGGAAGUCUUAAUAAGUUAGCAUGUGAUGGAUUUACCAAUUCGAUAGGUACAGCUUUUUGGUUGCUGUCAAAUCUCUUGUGUGUUUUUUUUAAAUUACUAAUUGACAUUAACACAUGACAGCUUUCUCUCAUGUUUUUCUUUCCCAAAUUAAUCAAGAUUUUUGCACUUCUAGGAAUUUACUAAUAUUUCUGUUUUUUUACUAAUAUUAUAUGUCUAGGAAUUAGGAACUUGGCAUCUUACUAGUAUUUUUUUCUUUGAAAAAACAAGGGUGUUAAGGGACAACAAAAUCAUGCCAAAUCCUAUCGCUAAUAUUAAUGGAUUCAGUACUGGUGUUCUUCAAUUUUUGGCUUCAAUUCUAACGAAAGGAUAAUGACACAAGAAGACGAAUUGGAUUUGCACUUCAUCAAUAAAUUUGAAAAUUGAGUUUAAUAGAUAAUAUUAAUAGUUGAGAUUGUAAGAUACAUUGUACAUUUAAGGAGAAAACAUAGAUUCAAACUUUAAAGAUAACAUUGUUGAGAGGAGUAGCCACAACCCCUAAACAUGCACUGUAAAACAAACAUGCAAAAUAUAAAAAAUACUUUUAAGUAGAUGCCAAUGAAUCUGAUUAGGUCUACAUGUAACAUCACUUGCACUUGAUUUGGUUCAAAAUAUAAGUUUUAAAUAUUACCUAAGCUAAAUAAAAAAAAUGAAUUUUAAAUUUUGUUCAAUCCAUCUAUAUUUGUAUAUGGUUAAUCCAAACAUAUUUAAGUUUGUCUAUAUUAUUUUAUAAUUUUUAAAAUAAUAUAUUUAUUUAGAAUUCAGUAAUUGUAUAUAUAUUAAUUAAUUCUUUUUUAAACAUAAAUAAAAUCAUAUAUCUUAAUAUUUACUUUAUAGUAUUAUAUAUAUAUUUCAUACAAAUAUAUAAUUUUUAUAUGAUAUAAAUUAUAUAAUAUAUAUAAGAACAAACAAAAGAAUAAUGCAUUAUAGAAUUAAAAAGGUCGAGCUGGCUUGGGUCUUAAAUAUUGGAGCUCAAACCUACCCAUUUCUAGACGAGCCUAUUUUUGCCCAAGCCAUUUUUUGGACCUAAUAAUUUUUUUUAAAAUCUUCUCAAAUCAAAUGAGCCCUUGAGUUUGAACAUAUAAUUUCAUGUUUGGAUAUGUCUAGUUUCAAGUAAUACAAAUAUAUAAUUUUUAUAUGAUAUAAAUUACAUAAUCUAUAUAAGAACAAAUGAAAGAAUAGCGCAUUAUAAAAUUAAAAAGGGUUGAACUGGGCUUGGGUCUUAAAUAUGGAAACUUAAGCCUACACAUUUCUAGACGAGUCUAGAUUUUUGUCAAAAUCCACUUUUUGGGCUUAAUAAUUUUCAUGAAACCUUUUCAAAUUAAAUGAGUCUUUGAGUUUGAACAUAUAAUUUGACCUUUAAAUAUGUCUAAUCGGUUUUUCAAUUUUGUUGGGAAAGGAUAGGAACUGUUUAGGGGGUCAAAUUCGUGAUAAAUGUCAAUUAAAAAAUUGAACACAAAUCCUUUACCAUUCAACGUUGAAUCAAUUUACAAAUUUGUGGAAUCUUUAAAUUAAAGUCAAUCAAUGGAUUUUUUUUGGCAUAAUAAUAAAUUUAUUCCAUAAUAUUUAUUUAUUUUAUCACUUUAACUAUAGUGCUUUUGGAUUACCUUGACCCCUAAUCUUUAAAAUUUAAUCGAAUUGCUUUUUCUUAAAUAAGAAUAUUGUUUAAAUUGUUAAAAUUUUAAUGGCAUGGAUAUUGCAGUCUGUUUGGAAAUUUUACAUGUAUUUCAUUAUUGAUGUAGGUUAUUUAAAAAAUUAUGAGAUACGUGUGAACUGUCACAAUAACAACCACAUCCAUGGCAUUAAAAUUUUAACUUUAUGUCAAAAAAACACAAUUUAACUAAAUUUAAGGUGAAAUUUUAGAAAAGGAAAAAAGAAUAGAAGCUUGUCAACUUUUAAUGAAUGGGGUUAAGAUGAAAUGGAUGAGAUAUGGUGAUAACCCACUACUACUUUCAAAAAUCCAUGUGGGGUCAUUUUUGUUUGAUUUUGAUUAUCUCAUUUAUUUUCCUCCAAAUUUAUUACAUUUGGUCUGCUUAUAUGCAUUGUCACUAAAACUAAUUAAAGAAAAGUUAUCCGUGACGAAAUUUUGUCGGCAAAAUCUUGUGUUCAAUUUCUUACUGAUGGAUUUAUAUUGGUUGGUGUUAGAGUCCACUAACCCUCGUAUUAAUUAAUAAAAAGAAGAAGGAAUUUGAUAAAUUGAUGCAUAAUUAAUUAAAUCUUUUCUUCUUUUUCCUAUGAUUUUGGUACCAAUGUAUGGUUAAGUGGGAGAAGAUGGAAAUUCCACUUUCAAAUCGAUUUUUGUUUUUAAUAAUUCAAAGUUUAUACAAAAGACCCAUUAUCCCUUUUUAAUUGAAGUAAUGCCCUAAUAUCACUUUAGUAAUUGAGUAUAUGAUCUCAAAUGCAAUAAAUGUUAUAGAAAACUACAGACUAAGUUUUUCUUUUUUUCUUUUUAUGGAGACGAAUAAAUCAUUAUUAUUUUUAAUUUUUAAAAAAUUAAAUUAUCUUUCUUUCAAAAUAUAUUAUUUUAAAAAAAAUUCACUCACAAAGUAGCUGCGAUGAAUUCUAAUUUUUAAAAAUUAAUUAUUUUAUAGCAUUUGUAUUUAUUAAAAAUAAUUCUUUUAAGGGAAAAAAGAUAUUUUAUAGUAAGAGCAGCAAAGAAAGUCAAGAUUUGCUUUAAAAAAAAUGUAAUAUAGAAGAUUGUAAAAGAGGCACCUAACUUACUAUAAAGUAGUAGCGAAUAUAUGAUAUAUAAAGCAACGAGAAUUAAAAAUAAAAUAAACUUGUUAUACGGCAAUUUGGGGGAAAAAAGGAAAGGUGUUCAAAUAUUCAAAGUAAGCCCAAUGCCCCCAUCAUUUUGGUCGUUUAUUUUCAAUAUACUUUUACAAAUUUAUUUAUGGUAAUUAGUUGCAAUUUUAGUUUUGGAUUUCAUUAUAUAUAAAUGGUAGAGUUGAUAAAUAAAUUCCAUAUAAUAUAUUUUUGAAAAGUAUCAAAUUAUUUUAAUUUUUUUAAAUUCAUUACUAAAUAUCUAACAAAUUAAUAUAUGGCUUGGCUUCAAUAAAAAAAUCUAACAAAUUUCAUGGUUUAAGAAAUUAUCAUGAAUGUUUUAUUUCUAAAUUGUUUACUACUCAAUUUACAGUAUUUUUAAAAUCCAAAUCUAAAUUCUAAAAAUUCAAGUUUAUAAACGCAACCUAAUAUUUUUUUUGGCCCAUUGGCAAGAGCAUUACAUUGUGGGCGUGCGAGCUUGAGUUUAAUCCCAAGUAACCUCAUUCCUCUCUCUAAUUAUAAAAAUAUAUAUUUUACAAAAUAUAACUAUAUAAGUCUUGUUGACAGUGGGCAACAAUAAGGAGAGAAGGUGGAGGAGAUGUUGUUCAUGAUUCCAAAAUGAAUCAUUGAUGGUAAGCUUAUUCUUUACCUUAUAUACGGACACUGAUGAAAAAAUUGCUUAUUAGAUCCUUUUAAAAAGUAUAAGAUUAUAAAUUAGUACAAGGAUAAAAUCUAAUUUUGACCUCCUACUUUUUAGUUUUGCCCUUGCUUAUACAUUAAACUAAAACAUGAAUAAACUAAUGUUUGAGGAUGUGUUUGAAAAAUCACCUAAUAAUCGGAUUUAGGUGUAUUUGUUUAUAAUUGCACAUACGUGACAUAUUUGAAAAAUCAUUGUAAUUAAUAGAUCCUCUAAAUUAAGUAUAAUUGGAGCAUCACAAUUACAGUCUUCAAUUCUUAGAGGAGGUUAGGAGGAUGAAAAUUAGAGUAAUUACAAACAAUUAUACUCAAAAUUCAAUUACCCUAUAACUUUCCAAACAUAUUUGUAUCUAAUUUAAAUUUUAUUCUAAAAUUUAAUUAUAUGUUGUUUUCCUAAUCUUGUUUAAAUAAUCCGACAUUUUUAUUAAUGAGAGAUAAUUUUUUAUAUAUUUUUUUAUCUACUAAAUAAUUAACCACUUUACAUAGUGUUUAUUAUAAAUUAUUUAUACUUGGUCAAGGACCAAUAUAUGGUCAAGGACCAUCAUAUAUAUUAGCCAGAGCAGAGGUGAUAACUGGACUUAUUUUAAACAGGUUGAAUAUUUUAAAUUUUUUCGAAUUUAAAUAUUUUUAAAUUCAAAUUAUUUUCGAAUAAUUGAAUAUAUAUACAUAUAGUAGUAGUAGUAGUGUAGACAAAGAUGAUGACAUUGAUACUUUGUUUUUGUUGUCAUAACAAAGAGAUUAGUUGUGUUGUUGCGUUGGUUCCAUAGCCAUAGCCAUAUGUCAUCACUUUGAACUUCAAACCUACGAAAUGUUCAAAACCAGAGAUUAGGUAUUUUGAGCAACUGCUUCUAUAAAAUUAACACAUUUACAACGAUGCUCCAACGGUCUCAUUAUAACUAUCACUUAAUAUAUAUACACACACACACAUAGCUUAUGAUGUUGAUGCCACAUUAAUUAAUUCCUUGAGCAUAAAUAUAAGAAUAAGGAAAAGUGACAGACAUCAACCUAAUUAAAUUUAAAAUUCUCCGACUAUGAUGUAUAUGGGUUAAUGGUAUUUAGACAUCCUUAAACUAUUGUCUAAAUUUUAAAAAGGUUUUAAAUUUUAGAAUGUUUCAAUUGAUCCUCAGAGUAUUAGUAUCAUAUUAAAUCGAGUCUUUCUAUUUGUUUAUCCAUUAUGUUAGGUGUUAAAUGCUAACUCAAAUAUGAUUUGGAGCAUAUUCGAAACGUGUAGAUCACAUUGUAAACACAUGUUGACUUACUGCAUGGAUAGUUUAGAUUUAACGUCCUCUUAAAUUUUGUUGACCUUUUUUAGCACAUCAAAUAUAAUUUGUCCAUGAGAUAGAUACACAUGUAUUUACAAAUUGAUUCAUAUUCUUUUAAAAAUGCUCCAUGUCAGAUCUGAACUAGCGUUUCGCACCUAGGUUGAUAACUAGAUUAGUGAAAGGACUUGACAGUGCACUUAAGGGCUACUUUAAAAUGUGAAAGAUAUUUUGGGUGCAAUUAAUGUAAAUUUUAUGUUUAAGAUAUACCUGCCAUCUUAUAUACUUUCAAUUAUUUAAAUAUAAACAUAAUGAUUCCAUCUCCAUGAAAAUAUUGAGGCUAUAUCUAGCAUCUUAAAGUACUUAUGCAGAGGAAUAGACCUUUGUCUCUUUUCCACCAUUGCCUUAAUUAAGAGGCACAUAAAUGCUACUCUAAAAUCGAAGGUGCCAUAUCAACGGUGAAGUACAAUGCUACCCUUAUUUAUAUUUAUUAAUUGUACAAUUUUUACAUUCACUUAACUUGUUAAUGAACAAAUCUAUUGUCGGUUCAUUUUUGUUUUUGUUUUCUUAGAAAACCAAAAAUAUGUGAAAAUUAUAAAAAACUAUUUUCACUAAAAAUAUUUUGUAAAAUUGAAAAUAAUGAAAGCAAUAACUUUUAACUUCAAAUAGAUUAACCCUAGUUUAAAUCUAUAUAAAUACAAAAGUAAUUUUUUUAAUAAUUUUUAAAUAUUAAAUCUAGUACAUUGAUUCGAAUCUAUAUAAAAUAAAAUUUUAUUUUCAUUUAUAAAACAUGAAAUUUUAAAAAUAGGAAACAAAAAUUAAUUUUGAAAAUGAGAAUAAAAUAAUAAUUUUAAAAACCAAAAGAAUUCUAAAAUUUUUCACCGCUUUUAUUAAUUAAAACACUUGACCAUAUAUAUUUUGACCAAUGGGGAAAAAAAAGAUUUAAAGUAUAAAAUACAAAGAUCUGUUGUUCUGUAAUUAUCAUCUACGUAAGCUUUCUUUGAUAUAAAGGUUAGUUUAAUGAUUGAUCAACUUGUUUGCACUUGCAUUAAUUUUUUAAAUUAUUAUAAUAUAAAUUUAGUAAUAUAAUGAACCACAAGUGCUAUAUUAAUUAUUCUAAAAUUUGUCUAAACUCGUAUUUUUAUAUACAUUAUAGAUAAUAAAAUCAUAUAAUAAAAAAUGAAUAAUAAAAGUUUAAUAAAGUGGAUCAGGUGCUUGAGUUGUGACAAAUCCAGUUGUCAACGUGUCGUAGUGUUCUAUUGAUGUUGAGGUUGAAGUUUUUGUUGUAUUGAUGGAACUUAUCCUUCAACGCCGACGACGGGUGUUUGUUGUUUUUUGUUCUUUUCCUUGAAUGAAUUAAUGACUUUUCCAUUUUUAAAAAAUAAAUUAAAAAUAAUAUAAUUAAUAAUUAUAUAUGUUUUAUAUUAAAUUUAAAUAAACAAAAUUUUAACUAAUAAAUAAUAAAAGAAAGAAGGUAGGUUUUCUUUGUAAAAUCUGUAAGCACAAAUUUUUUGUUUAUCAUGCGAAAGUUCUACUUAAGUGACAAACAAUAUGUGGGUGAUACUUUUUAUCACAAUAAUAAUUAAUAUAUAAAAAUAAAUAACAAAAAUGUGUUGCUUAGCUUCAGGACCAAAAUUCUCUUGUCCAAUUUAUUCCCAUAAUAACUUAAGGAGAUUAUAUAUAUGGUUCUUAUUAGGGAUAAUGACAUGACUUUAGGGUUUGUUCUAAUGUGAUAUUAUCUUUAUUUUUAAAAUAUCUAAUUUACUACUUCAAGUUUUAAGUUUUAUUCAUUUGAACAAUUUGGUAUAUGAUCCUAAUGAUGUUAACUUUUUUUGUUGUUGUAGUACAUGAGCCAAUCAAAAGAGGGCAUGUGUUCCUUUAUUGACUGCUGGCUUGGCUGAUGGGGCCUCUAAGCAAAUUGUCCCUUUUUUUUUUAUCAAAAUUAAAUUAAAACAAAAAAUAUAUUAUCUUUUUAUUCUUAGAUUAUUUUCGACCUUUCUUCAUUUCUUCACAAACUGUAAAAAAAUAAUAAUUUCAUCAUCUUCAUCUCAAUUGCAACUAAAAUCCCAAAAUUUUCAAUAUAAUGUAAAAGAAAAAGAAGUAAAUGAAGUUUAAAAAAAAAAAAUUGAAAUCCAAAUACGAUCAUCAUCUUCUCCAUUCUGUUCCAAAUUAUAAAGCUCAGAAAUUGAACAAAAUGAACCCCACCAUAUGUGUAUAACAUAGCCCUAAAAUAGUGAUGUUACUGAUGACACUACCAUAAGAGGUGAUAAAGGAAACUUUGAAACACCGUUAUCGCCAGCAUGCAUCCUCUUGAACAAACAUGACAGGUAUGUGUUUUAGAGGUGAAUAUGGUUUAUGCUUCUUGAAACUCAAAGUUUUUUUGGAGCUCAUUCCUACCAUAUGAACAGUACUAUUAGGCUUAGUUGCCUCAAUACGAUUUUCUUCCGGUAGAAGAUGUCGAUAAGCAUCCUCCAAAGUUUUGAUGUUCAUAUUGUGGGUAAGGUGCACUUUCAUGUAUUCCAACUAUGAGGUAAGGACCAAAUAAGUGCUUGAACUUGUUGUUCAUCUGUAACAGCCCAUUUUCAGUGAAAAUCAGAACAGUAGUUUUGGGACUACAAAUUUGAGUUAGAAAGAAAAAUUAUUUUAAUAGUAUUGCAUGGUCUGCAUUAUGAUAGGAAUGACGUAUAAAAAUUUUGUUAAGAAAAAAUUUACUGAUUACAUGUUAAAUUGAUAAAAGGACCAAAUUGUAUGAAAUGCAAAAGUUGAGUUCUAGUAGAUAUAGGUAUCAAAUAGCUAUGGGAUUCAAAACUUGAGGUCCUUAUAUGGCAAUUAGACCAUUAAAUGGAGUUAAUAGAUAAUUAUGAUAAUUCAUCCAUGGAAGUUUAAGAAAAGAAAAUGACUAAAUUGGAAAUUGAAAUAAUUAAAGAUGAUAAUAAUCUAAUAUCAUCUUAUUUUCAUCAUCUUCCCCAAAUUUUUUUUAUGAAAACCCUACCUAAGAGAAAAGAACUCAAGCAAGCUUAAUUGGGUAAGUACUCUUGUCCUGUUUUUAGUAAUUUUUAUAUUUCUGAGAUCAUAAUAACCUAAUCUAGUUAAUUUGGGGAUUAAUUUGCAAAUUUAUCAAAGUAUUAAAAUUUUUCCAUGGAUGAGUAUGCUGAAAUUUUGAAAUUCAUGGUAGAAAAUGAAAGGUUGUUGAUAGAUAAACAACUUUUGUAAAGAAAAUUUCCAUGAAAUUGUGAUAUAGGGAUUAAAUUGAAAAGAUAUAAAAUUCAUAGAAAAUUUUUUAUUUUUGUGAAAUACAUGGACUGUUAUUGUUACAUGUAAAAAUCAGUUAGGCUUGGAUUAAGGAUUAAAUUGCAUGAAUUUCAUUUUCCGAGCCUAGGGAUGAAAUUGGAAUUAAUUAAAAGUAUAGGGGCAAAAUAGUACUUUUGCCUAAGAUGUGACUUGGGUUGAUUUGAAUAUGAAAUGUAAUAAAUUGAUGAUUGAAUUCGUUUAUAUAUAGAUCCAGAAAGAUCAAAUAAGGAGUUAGAUCGAGGAAAAGAAAAAGUGUCGGAUUAGUAGAUUUUCAUACACGAGCAAGUGUUGAGGUAAGUUCGUGUAACUAAAUUGUGUAUAUUUAUAUGUUUGAAUUAAAUGUUGUAUAUGUGAAUAUUGAAUUAUAUAAUUAUUAUGUUUAUGAAAUUAAUCGUAUAUCUGAAAAAUGCUCGAUAAAUAUUAAAACAUGUUUGAAUACAUGAAAAUCGAUUCGAUACAGGGCUCCCGUAUUGGUUAUGGUAUUGAAUAUGUUGCAGACAUACCAUAGCUCGAAAGAGCGUCCCGAUAUUAGCUCUCAUGAGCAUCCCGAUAUAUGGUUCUUGCGAGCUUCCCGUUAUAGCUUUUCAGAGCGUCUCGAUUGGUUGUGAUCCUACAUUUGUUGUGGACACACCUUAGCUCUUAUGAGCGUACCAAAUAUGGCUUUUCGUGAGCUUCCUGUUAAAUUGGCUCUUUGUGAGCUUUUCGUUAUGGCUCGCUUGAACUUCAUGACAUAUGGCUAACUAUCCGGAGCUUCCCAAUUAAUGGCUCUUCAGAGCUACUUGUUAUAGGCUCGCCCGAGCUAACUGAAUACAGCUCUUAUGAGCUUCCUGUUUUAUCCCGGAUAACCUUCCUAUUUAUGUGCUUUUAUAAGCACUCCCGGAUAGGAGUUGACAUAUUUACCAUAUUGUACACUUUGUGUGUAUUACCCAUGUAUCCAUCGAUAUUUUAAAUGAUUUAACGGGUAAAGUUCCGGUAUGAGAUGAUAUGAAUUCAAGAUAAGUGACUAUGAAAAAUACUUGAUAUACAAAAAUAUGAUUCGUACAUGUUCAUUGGAAACUUGAAAUGAAAAAUAUAUGUAUGUAGAAAUGGAAUAUUGAUGAGCUCAUCUAUAUUUCUUGGCAUUUAUAUGAAUUACAUAACUAACGUGCUUGAUGAGGAUGUAUAUGUGUUUAGGUUAUUGAUUACAUUGAUUUGGGUGUACUAUGUAUGCUUACUUUAAAUGAACAUGAUUGGUAAGUUAAAUUUCUAUUAUACGAACUUACUAAGCAUUAAAUGCUUACUCUGUUUUAUUUCCUUUAUUUUAUAGUACUCGGAAGAUCGUCAAGGUUGGAGCGGGUCGGAGCAAGAUCACACUAUCCUUCAGCUCUUUUUUAUAUAAAUAGAAAACUUUAAAUAGAAUAUAAUGGCAUGUAUAUGUUAAAUUGGUCAAAUGUUGGCAUAUACAUGUUUUGGUUGAAAAUAGCCAUUGGAAUGACUUGUAAUGGUCAUGUUUUGAUAUAUAUAUGGUAUUAUUAUGUUUGAGGUAAGAAUUUGAUUAUGCAUAUAUGUAUUUGGUAUCUAGGUAAGUAAAGCUUAUAAUGACAUAAUAAUAAAUUAUUUAUUGGAAAGCCUAAGGGUACAUUGAUUGUAUGUGUAGAAUGCUUAGGUAUUUUCACACGGAUAGAGAUACGGGUGUGUGCGCACACUGGUGUGUGUCUUGGUCAUCUGACCCCUGCUCCUAAUUAUUGUAAAUUAAAAUGUUCACACGGCCUAGCACACGGGGGUGUGGCUUGGCCGUGUGACCAAGUCAGUAUACCCCCUAAAUUGGACAUAGGUUGGGACACGACCGUGUGCCUCACAUCAAAUGCCCACACAGAUGGAACACGGGCGUGUCACUUGGCCGUGUGAGCCACACGGUCUGGCCACACGGGCGUGUGUCCCCUGCAUAUAAGAAAAAUUUUAAAAUUUUAUGAAAAAUUAUCUAAGUUCCCGAUUUAGUCCCGACUUGUUUCUAACGCAUACAUUGGGUCUCGAUGAUCCAUUUAAUGGACAAUAUGAUUGAAUAUGUUUGAUUUCAAAUAUGAAUACUAAAUGACACAAGUUAUUUGUAGUUGAUCUGUAAACUCUGAUAAUACUCCGUAACCCUGUUUUGGCGACGGACAUGGAUUAGGGGUGUUACAUCAUCAAACAAAGUGUGACUUACAUCGUUCAUCUUACUUUUUAUGUUUGAUAUUUCUUUUAUAUGUUGUCUCAUAUUAUAAUUGGAUUUUUUCUUGUAAGUGUCAAACUUGAUUGUGAGCUAUCUAACUUUAGUGAUCGAUGUGCCACCAAAUUUCACUUUGAGUGCAAUUCGCAUUUCUUUUGCGACCUCAUGCUUUUUGAACUCAUGCUUGAUAUCAUUGUCCAUACUGCUUAACAAUGUUAUGGGAGCUAUGGAAUUUUUCCUUUAUCAGACAUCAUAAGCCUCUUGGUCCCUUUUAUUUUGGGUAGUAUUUCCUUCUUUAGGCUCUUGUAGAACAUUAUUCAAGAUUUUUGUGAACUUGUUGUUCCUCUGGUACAUAUUGAAUUUUCAAACUCCAGAUUUUAAAGUUUUCUUUAUUGAGCUUUUCACCUUUGUUAAGUUCAACAACAAUAUUUUUGAAAGCAAAUGUCAUAUCAAAAUAAAGAUAUUCUAUAUGAAAAAAUACACAUGUUAAUGUCUAGUAUACACAAUUUCCAUUUAUUUAUUAUCACAAUAAAGAAACACAGUGAUAUUUAUCAUAUUGUAUAGAACCAAUUGUAUAGUAAGUUUAACAGUCAAAUUCUAUACAAAUAUUCUAAUUGUCACUAAUUUAUUUUAUUGUAGUUUUAGAACUCCCACUGUUUGUAAUUGUGUAAGUAUAACAUACUAAAGGCAAAAUGAUUAGAAAAAUUAUAAGAACAUAAAUGAUAGUAUAACUUAAUAAAAAUAAAUGUGUAACACCCCGUGUAACACCCCAAACCCGUCCUAAAAGUUUAAGCCGAAUCUGGACGAGUUACACUAACGUAGUAAAAACGUACCUCUUUUUCAGAGUUUUAACUUUGAAAACCAUAAAUUCAUUUUAGUUGAUUUAGAUGAUUUUGUAGUUUCGUUUUAAACUUGGCAAAUACUAACGAGAUUAUAAAAAAGAAAAAUAAGACAAGUCCAAAAUAGAUUACAAAUCCAAAGGAUUAAAUUGUAGUUAACUCAGUGCAAAACAAUCCGAGCUCCUGCAUGUCGUCCGAUCCUAAAUCAGAUGCCUUCAUGACAAAUAAAAGUAGGACAAAGGGUGAGUCACCAAGCACCGCGUAUAACCAAACUCAAAUACAAAUAAACAAAACGUGAUAUGUAAAUCAUAGUAACACAAGCAUUUGAUAACAGUUGUAUAACGAGUAUGAAACAUAUCUAGAGCAGAACAACGCAAUUCAAACAGAACAGAACCGAAUAGAGCAGAACAAAAUAAGUGUCAAACUUGAUUGUGAGCUAUCUAAGUUUAGUGAUCGAUGUGCCACCAAAUUUCACUUUGAGUGCAAUUCGCAUUUCUUUUGCGACCUCAUGCUUGAUAUCAUUGUCCAUACUGCUUAACAAUGUUAUGGGAGCUAUGGAAUUUUUCCUUUAUCAGACAUCAUAAGCCUCUUGGUCCAUUUUAUUUUGGGUAGUAUUUCCUUCUUUGGGCUCUUGUAGAACUUUAUUCAAGAUUUUUGUGAACUUGUUGUUCCUUUGGUACAUAUUGAAUUUCCAAACUCCAGAUUUUAAAGUUUUCUUUAUUGAGCUUUUCACCUUUGUUAAGUUCAACAACAAUAUUUGUAACAGCCCAAUUUUGACCCUAAUCGGAAUAGUGGUUUCGGGACCACAAAUCCGAGUUUGAAAAAUAUUUUAAUAUUAUUUUGUGUGUUUAUGAUGUGUGAAUUUAAAUGUGUGAAAGUUUCAUGAAUUAAUUUUGUUGUUUAUGUGUUUAAUUUGACAAAAGUAUCUAAUUGCAUAAAAUGUGAAAUUUGCUUAUUAAGGUGUGAAGUGUUUAUUUGAUAGUGGCUUUUAAAUAUGAGGUUCUUAAAGGGCAAUUAGCCCAUUUUAAAGGAUAGUGGGUGGCAUGAUUGUUAAAAUAUAUAGUUUUUAUAUAUUAAAUAUAAAAGUUAAAAUAAUAAUAGUAUAAUAUUAAGUUAUUAUAUCAUAAAACAUUAAAGAAAUAAGCCAUGUUAUUCAUUUUUUUAUCACCGAAACUAGAAAAGAAAAUUAGGUUUGAAGCUUUAAAAUAUUCGGCCAUUGAAGACUUUGAUUAACGUAUGUUUCUGUUUCGAUUUUUGAUAAUUUUUACGUUUUUUAGAUCGUUGUUUUAAAUACUUCAAAACCCAUGUCUUAAUUUUGUGAAUUGUUGAUGAUUUUGAAAUGUGUCAUUGAUGAAUGUUUGAGUUUCAUGAUGUUAGUUGAUGAAAUAUGAAAUAUAAGUGUUAGAUAAACAUGUUUUGUCUUUGAAUUUUUAGUGAAUUUGAGUAAUUAGGGCUAAAUUGAAAAAAUAAAUUUUGAGGGACUAAAAUGCGAAAUAAAUGACAUGCAUAGACUUAUAUGAGCUUAGUGCAUAUUCGGCCAAGCUAUUGUGCAAUGAAAAUUUAAUUAUUUUGUAUUUUGUGAAAUAGGGACUAAAUUGUGAAAAAUGUGAAAUGUCAGGGGAAAAAAUGUAAUUUUCCAAUUUAUGUGUUCUUAGACUAAAUUAAAUGAGAUUUAUUUGAAUAUGUUUAGAUCAAGAAACCAAGAAAUCAGAUUUAGAUCGGGAGAAAUCGAAAGUAGUUGAGUAGCUGAUCUAUUAGUCGACGACAUCCGAGGUAAGUUAUUAAGCAUAUAUUUUGUAUCGUUUUAAAUCAUCUUAGUAUCUAUGUAAUUAUGCUGAAUUGAAUGGUAUAUAUAUACAUGUAGUGAAAAAAAUUAUUGAAAUAAGAUGUAUUGAAUUGUUGACUUUCGGCACUAAGUGUGCGGGUAUAAAAAAAUUAUGAUAAUGAGAUUAGCACUAAGUGUGAGAGUUUAAUUGUAAAGCAUUAAGUGUGCGAGAUUGAUUAUUAAGCACUAAGUGUGCGAACUUAUUAAAUAUUUUCGAAUAACUAUUAGUAUUGAGUGUUCGACUUAUUGAGUAAUCAUGAUUAGUAUAAUGAGUAAAUAAUUGGAGUUCUUGAGUAAUAACCGUUGUGGUUGUAUCCAAGGUUGAGCUUUGUAAGUAUUAAACCUAUAUGGUGAUUAUAUUUGGAAUCAAAUAUAUAAGAUGAUUCUUUAUAUCACAUGAUGAUGAAAUGCAUAAUGUAUUUGGCCUUGUAUUUAAAUUUGAAGAAAUAUUUAUGGUUGAGUAAUUAUAUUGAUUUUAGUUAAAUCAUAGUAUUAAGUUAAUAAUUAUCUUAUGAUAUGGUAAGCUAAAGGUAAGAUGAUUUAGUAGUAUGAAUUGGUUAAAUAUUAUUCGAGAUAUCAAGUUAAAUUGUAAAGUUUAUUUGCUUGUAACUUACUAAGCUAAAUUAGCUUACAAUGUGUUGGAUAAUUGUUUUGAUGUAUAGAUUUUGGUGAUUGCUACGUGUUCGGGGAUCGUUUGUGAAGCUUGUCACACUAUAGUCUAUAUUUUGGUAUUUUACUAAGUUGUUUUCGAAUAAAUGGCAUGUAUAGCGUAAUGAAAAUGUUGAUUUUGUAACCAAUGUAUAUAGGUGUAAUUAAUAGCCAUGCAAAAAUGGCUUAUCUCUUUUGGUUUGAAUUCAAUAUUAUUGCAUAUGUUUUAAUGGUCUAAAAUGUAGUAUAUGUUCAUGUUAUUUUGAUGCUUAAAUGCUGCCCAAUUCGUUGUAUUUAUGCUGCCCAAUUCGUUGUAUUUAUGCUGCCUAAAUUGUUGUAUAUAUACUGUCCAAUUUUGAUGUAAAAAUGUUGCUCAAUUUGGUAUAUAUACGCUGCCUAAAUUGUUGUAUAUAUGCUGUCCAAUUUUGAUGUAAAAGUGUUGCUCAAUUUGUUAUAUAUAUGCUGCCUAAAUUGUUGUAUAUAUGCUGUCCAAUUUUGAUGUAAAAAUGUUGCUCAAUUUGGUAUAUAUAUGCUGCCCAAUUUGUUGUAUAUAUGCUGUUCAAUUUUUGGUGUAAAAAUGCUGCUCAAUUUUGUUGUAUAUAUGCUGCCCAAAUUGUUGUAUAUAUGCUGUCCAAAUUUUGGUGUGAAAAUGUUGUCUAGUUUGGUAUAUAAAUGCUAUCCAAAUUGAUGUAUAAGGGCUGUCCAAACAGGGUAGAUUACCUAUGUUGUAAUAUGUAGUAUAGUUAGUAAAUUGAAAUGAAAUAUGUGUACAAAUAAAUGUUUGGAUAUAUAAUCAUUUAUGUUUGGAAAUGUUUUAAGAAUUCGAAUGAUAUUAAAUUUUGAUUAGGUAAAUGACAAUGAUGUGGUUGAAUUUUUGAAACAUGGUUAGUUUAUGAAAUUUGAUUAAUGAUGCAUGUUGAUUUUAACUGGUUAUGUGAUUAAACAUAUAUAUAUACAUAUAUGUGGAAUGAAAUUUCGUGGUUGAGUUGGUAUAAUUUAUGAAAUAAAAAAAUUUUUGAGUUGGGUUUUUGAUCGGUAAUGCCUCGUAACUCUAAUCCGGCGACGGACACGGGUCGGGGUGUUACAAUAUUUUUGAAAGUAGUUGUCAUAUCAAAAUAAAGAUAUUCUAUAUGAAAAAAUACACAUGUUAAUGUCUAGUAUACACAAUUUCCAUUUAUUUAUUAUCACAAUAAAGAAACACAGUGAUAUUUAUCAUAUUGUAUAGAACCAAAUGUAUAGUAAGUUUAACAGUUAAAUUCUAUACGAAUAUUCUAAUUGUCACUAAUUUAUUUUAUUGUAGUUUUAGAACUCCCACUGUUUGUAAUUGUGUAAGUAUAACAUACUAAAGGCAAAAUGAUUAGAAAAAUUAUAAGAACAUAAAGGAUAGUAUAACUUAAUAAAAAUAAAUGUGUAACACCCCAAACCCGGCCUAAAAGUUUAAGCCGAAUCUGGACGAGUUACACUAACGUAGUAAAAACGUACCACUUUUUCAGAGUUUUAACUUUGAAAACCAUAAAUUCAUUUUAGUUGAUUUAGAUGAUUUUGUAGUUUCGUUUUAGACUUGGCAGAUACUAACGAGAUUACAAAAAAGAAAAAUAAGACAAGUCCAAAAUAGAUUACAAAUCCAAAGGAUUAAAUUGUAGUUAACUCAAUGCAAAACAAUCCGAGCUCCUGCAUGUCGUCCGAUCUUAAAUCAGAUGCCUUCAUGACAAAUAAAAGUAGGACAAAGGGUGAGUCACCAAGCACCACGUAUAACCAAACUCAAAUACAAAUAAACAAAACGUGAUCUGUAAAUCAUAGUAACGCAAGCAUUUGAUAACAGUUCUAGAACGAGUAUGAAACAAAUCUAGAGCAGAACAACACUAUUCAAACAGAACUGAACCGAAUAGAGCAGAACAAAAUAGGAUAGAACAGCUCAGAACAAUACUGAACAGAAUAGAAUGGAACGGAAUAGAGUAGAGCGGAGCAUGUAUGUUUAUGCAGAUGUAGUAUGUUUCAAAUAUAUGUGGUCAAGCCACUAUAGUGCAGUCAAACUGUCGGAACAGAAGUGUGGAUAAACCACUGGAUAAUGCAGAUCAUUAAACUUCCAAAAACUUCCUCCUUUUACUUCAACCCAGGUCCCAUGCAAUGUGUCAUGACAUGCUUAUGUAGAAUCAGAGUAAUGAGCAUGUAAGUCAUGCUAUCUCUCAAUAAUAGAAUCAGUAACUAUGGGAGUUCAUGUUUUGUAAAACAGACUUAUCAAACCUCAACGAACCAUAUCAGAUUUGCCAUGAAGUCACAUGCACGGUUAUAAAUCAGAAUUAGUAACAAUCAGUCUAACAUGUUCAGAUAUCGCAUACUCUUCAUCAACAGAGCAAUGUAGAGGAGUACCAACAAACAUAACAGAAUACAGAUCGUACUUGAUAAUUCGCACACAUAGAUAAUAGCACAUUAUGUUCUGACGAAUCCUACUUGUAGAGCCCAAAUUCUGCCCAGGGCCCAUAUAAACCCUAGCCCAAACCUACCAACCCAAAAAAAUUUACCGACCCAAUUACAAUUACAGACCCACAACCCAAAAUUCAAAAGCCCAAAUGGCCCAAAACGUUUGACAUUUUCAGAAUGCCAGAAACCCUAGGGUUUCUGGCACCGUUCCCCUGCUGCUACCCAUGUGCGCCUUCAGCGCGCACCACACCCGAGGCUGCCACCACCAGCCGGCCUUGCACUAGUAUAGCAAGUUGACUUCGCCCGAACCUGCAACAAAAGACAAACCAAUGCAGCAAAAGAAGACCUGCAAGUGACACAAAAUAGAAACAAGAACAGUGGAAGAAAACAAAAGAACAGUAUAGAACAGUAGCAUGUACUGUAAUCCAAAACGGCUAUAAUAGCCGAAUCAAACAAAUGUAAAAGGGGGGAUUUUCUUUGUAAAAGAGGCAUCAGUUAAUCAAAAGAGAGAGCAAAAUUUUAAGGUUGAAAGAAUCCGAUCGUUCUUUCUUUUUUUGUUUCUCUGUUUUCCGUUUUCUUUUUUAUUUAUUUAUUCAUUUUUUCUACAAAUCCAUUUUUAACAAAUAAAAUAGAAUAAGAAAAAAAGGAGAAGGGAAAUACCUGGAAACGCCGCAAGCCCCGGCAUUGGAAUCUCCCCUUUCGUCUCUUGAAUCGGGUUGAAGGGUGAGGUGAAAGGUCUCUCCUUUUGAGCUUUUUCGGGCAGAGAAGGCUUGGCCUUCGUGGGCGCUUCGAAGCGAGGCUGAAACGCCUCUUUUGCGCAACGCCAGCCACCGGCCACGGCGGCGCUACAGUGGUGACCGGCCGAAUUUUAGGGAGAGAGUUGAGAGGGUGAGAGCCUUUUUUUUUAACAGAAUGGAAGAAAUAAAAAAAAAGAGAAAUUUUGGGUUUUUAUGAAGGAUGCAAAACGGCGUCGUUUGGGGCCUGUUUCAGUGGCCCCAAAACGGCGUCGUAUAGAGGCUGACCCGUGACCCGACCCGCAGCCCACAGGAUCCGCGUGUUUCUGCGGUGAAUGGGAAAAUUGCGCGCGGGGUUCCUUCGAUUUUAUGCUGUUUUACAAUCCGACCCCUUUUUGUUUUAUAAUUUGGCUACAGAAUUUUCUGCGCUUUUCAUUUUAGCCCGUGCCAAAACGCUGCGCAUAACAAUGGGAAUAUUUGCUCAAUCAGCCCUCCGUUCUUUGGUCGCAUUAUAUUUUGGUCCCUGGGGACCCCUUUUUUGUUUAUUUGCGUUUUAAACCCCAAAUUUUUAUUCCAAAAUUUGAUUAAACCUGUUUGUUUUAUUAUCUUAGUUAUUUUAUUAAUAAUAUUAGCCAAUUAGACAUUAUUAUGAUUUUUAUUAUCGUUUGUUACUGUUAAUAUAUUUUUUAUUUGUGUUUACUUAUUUAAAUUUCAAGUGUAUGUGUCUUAUUAUAAUUAUUAUAUGAUUGCUCAUAUUUUUAUAUUUUAUAAUUCAUAUAUAUAUAUAAAUCUAUAUACAUAUUCAUAUUUUUUUAAGUUAUAUGCAUAUUCGUAUGUACAUACCUACAUUAUUGUAUUUUAUAAUAUAUAUGUUUAUAUCUUUUUUGUCUUUAUGUAAUAUAUAUACACGUAUAGACAUGCAUAUUUUCAUUAUAUAUACACACCUAUUUUAAUUCAUACACACAUGUACAUAUGCAUUAUUUAUUUUUAAAUUGUCUUGUAUGUCGUUGAUUUGUCCUUUUUUAUCUAUCUUAUCUUUGAUGCUUUUUGCUUGUAUUAUCAUUUUACUUACAUUAUUAUCAUUGUUAUUCCAUGACGUUCAUUUUUAUUUAGAUGUCAAAAAAUGGAAUUUUAAAAUUAUAAGUAAUAUUCGGUAUUUUAGAUCUCCGAGAGAAUCGAGCCCUAACGUGUUGGGUUCCGACUUUCUUCGUUGAAUUUAAAUAAUCGAGAUUACUCUUUUAAAAAUGAUAAAAAGCUCGUUAUCAAGAAUUCAAUACGUCGUGUCCUAACGCAUUGGAUGUGACACGUUGUUUUCUCGAGACGAGGACUUUUCUAAAAAAUAGUAAGACAAUAUUUUGCGUUUGGAAAUUCGAGGAAACGUGCCCUAAUGUGUUGGGUUUCGAUUUCUCGUUUAAUCAAAUAGCCAAAUAUCUUCUUAAAUCUCAAUCCAUGCCAUUCAAUUUUUUUAAGGAUCGUAUUUUAAAUUUCUUUAAAGUUUUCAGUUUUUCGACACUAAGACAUUAAGUAAUCAACUAGGUAACAAUUUUGGGCGUAUCGAGGGUGCUAAUCCUUCCUCGUGCGUAACCGACUCCCGAACCCGUUUUUCUGAAUUUCGUGGACCAAACUUAUUGUUUUAAUAAAAUCAAAUCAUUUAUUAAAAACAACCACUUUUCGAGGUGAUCCGAUCACACCUUAUCAAAAAGGAUUGGUGGCGACUCCCACGUUCGAUUUCAUUUUUUCAAAACCCAAGUCGACCCCGUAUUCAUCAAAAAAAUGGUGUCAACACUACUCACUUAGGUUCAAACAUAACAGAUAUACGUGGAGAUCACAAGUUGUUCAUCAUUAGUCUAACACGUUUAGAUAUCGCAUAUAUCAUUCGUAUAUCAGUCUUAAAGCAUCAGAUAGUCCUCUUACGAUCAAAUUCAAAUCCAAUUAAAUAAUCUUCUCAACCCAAUUCUAAUCCGUUAAAAUCAUAAUGAAUUUACUUUAAAAGAAUCUACAAGAAAAUAUAUUUAAUAUUUUUGCUUUCAACGGUUCACUAUAAACAAAUGAUUUAUUUUCAUUUUUGAACUUCAUUUAAUUCGAAAAACAUAAAUUCAUUUCCAGGUAAUUUUCAUUUUCAUUUAGGAGAAAAUCAUAAUCAUUUCCAAAUGUAUAGCCUCCAAUCGGUUCCAUGGCCUCACCAUGAUCUUCACUCUUCCCGUUUCAUUCCUUCCAUUCCUCCAUUUCACCAUCCUAUAACUUGAUGAUCGAACACCACAAUAUCCCUCUGCAAGGCCCGAAACUUCGCACAUCAUGGGUGCACACAACAACAUCGUAUGGCGGUAUCUAACAGAAUUAUCACAUUUCCCUUCCUAACUUCAUCUAACCCGUUGUUCAUCCCCUUGCAUGAUUUCCCUUAUCAUGCAUACUAACUUGGAAUGGCAAAUACGCAUAAAUUCAUGUAAGCAUGCACCGCUUCUCACUUAUAACAACAUAUAUAGUUAUAAAAUACAUUCUUUAUUAAAUUAAUUUUCUAUAACAACAUAUUGUCUAAAAUUUUAAGUAAAAUUAUAGUUAUUUCAUAUAAGCAAGCUUAGCAAUUAUAAUUUAUUAAAUAAAAAUAAUCUUAAUUAAAAUAUUAUUUUAAUAAGAUAUUUAAAUUUCACAUGAAAAAAAUCUAUUAAUAAUAUUUUAUAAAAUGAAAAUAAUUGUGAAUGGGUGGAAUUAAAUAUAUCAAUUCAAUAAAAAUAUUCGAAUUUGAAACAUCAUAAACUUAUAAAUUGAUUACUUGAAUUUAAUAACUCAUGAUUAAUUAAUUAAUUUAAUUUCAUAACUUAUAUUAAUUAAUUGAACUUGUUAGAUUUAUAAACUUCAUACUUAAUCAUGUGAAAGAAUGUAAAAGCAAUAAUGCAUACACUUGUUAUACAUAUUUUAAUUUUGUUGAUUUAAUUUUUAUUCGAUGAAAAUUUACUAUAUGUAUUUCAUGGUGGGCCUACAACAAUUCUCUUUAUAACACCAUGUCGUUGUACAUAUAUGAAAAUCAUCUCUUUGUAGCAAACAAAAGCUUACCAAACAAAUAAAGCUGUAAAGAAAGUCCACUGUACAAGUGUUGUGUUGUGCCAGCCAUUAUAAGUAUUGUGGUUGCAUUUUGACUUUCGAGCUUUGUUUUUAGGAUGGUGUUAGUAUUGAAGAUGUGGUUUGUCGUGGGUCUUCUUUUUUCUUCUUUUCACUAUUGGUUCAAAAUUCAGUAUUGAAGUUUGCUAGUGUUUUUUUUUUUGGAAAUGCUUAGUCCUUUUUUUUUAUUAAAAUUUUAUUUAUUAUAGAGAUGUGACUUUUAUAACAUAUUAUAAAAAGAUAAUUAUUGUAGACUUACAAUAAAAUUUAUAUUGUAAAAUUUUAUUAAAUAAAGAAAGUAGAUAUCAAAUCAAUAAAAUUAAAAAAUGUAUUGUAAGUGUAAAUAUUGUUGUUUUUAUGCAUAUUUUAAUUUAAUAAAAUUAAUAUUAUUACAAGUAAAAUUUAUUAUAUAUAGUUAAAGACGAAAGUCUACCAACUUAUUAAUAAGUUUACAGAAUAAGAGUUAAGGUAGAAUAAACUUUUCAUUUAAGCUACACUUUUUUUAAGCUUGUUUUCUAACUCUUGGUAGCCAUUUAAUGUACAAUAAACACAUUGGACAAUGUAGAAUCUUGUCCCCUUGAUAUUAAUGGGUUUUGUUUAUAAAUAUUUUAAGAAAAUGUAUAAAUAAAAAAUACAAUCUUAAUUAAUUAGGGAAUAAAACAAAGUAGAUAAAUAAAACCGAGAAAGCAAUAUAAAUAUUAUUAACUAAGGACUCAUCCACCAUAGAUAAUUUUUAAUUCAUUACUUUAUCCAAUGAAAUCCUUUUUUUUUUUUUUUUUGUUAUAAUAGGCAUGAUUUAUGGUAAAGAGUAUUCCUGGCAGAGAUUCAUAGAAAGGUAGGUCAGCUAUGUCUACCUUUAUGGCACAUUAUAUUGGUGAUAAAGUCCUCACUCACUCACCUUUACAAAGGCUAAGCACGAAGAUGUGCAUCACUAUACGCCACAAAGUUGGGGUUUAGUCGGUUUGCCCUAAAUUCCCAUACCUACUCUAUCUUUCCUAUCUAACUCUAUCAUCUCAAUAUUUCUUUAAAAAAAAGAAUAUUAGUCACUUACAUUUGGAUUAUUAUAUAUAUGCAUCUCUUCUACUUAUGAUGUUGGUUUACAAAUAAAUUUCGAAUGUUUGAUCAAUUAGAUGAUAUUUGAGAAAUUGAAAUUUUAAAUGUUAAAUUUAAGUAAUUAAAUUGUGUAAUUUAUUUUUAAUUUUUAAAACUUUUCACUUUAUUUUAAACAAAGCCAAAUUUAAAAAAAAAAAGGAAAAGAAAUAAAAUAAAAAUAUUCUCAAGUAACUCCUUAUGUUAUUAUCAUUUUUCACACUUUUUUAUAGAAAAAUAUAUUAAGUGGUUUUUAUUACUAUUUAUCAAAUGUGUGUAAAUGUCAUUUUCCUUCUACUUUCUUUUGAAUGCAAGAAGGACUAAAGAAAACGUGUUUGAUUGAAAUUUUGAAAAAUAAGAAUAUGUGAAAAUUGUUUUCACUGAUAUUGCUUUGUAAAACUGGAAAAUGUUAAAAACAAACAUUUUUAACCUUAAAAGAAUUCACCGUGGUUCAAAUAUAUAAAUCUAAAAAUAUUUUUUAUUUCAAUAAUUUUUAAAUAUAAAUAUAAAUUUCUGAAUGUAGAUUAAAUCCAUAUAAAUCUAGAAAUUGUUUUAUUUUAUUUCUAAUGUUUCUAUUAUAUACCAUACUUGUUUUCAUAUUUUCGUUAUUGAAAAUAUUUUUUUUAAUUUUUAUUUAUGAAAUUAUUUUUUAAAAAUAAAAAUAGAAAAUAUUUUAGGUACUAAACGGGGUCUUAAUUUUUAGUUGAUUUAAUUUGAUCAAAUUCUACUAUUAUUUCAUGUACUAUGUGUAAGUUGUGGAUUUAGUCCUUAUAUUUAAUUGGAUCACUUUUAGUCCUUGUACUUUUCAAAUUGUUUGAUUUUAGUUCUUAUACUCUUCGAAUUUCAAAUUUUCAAUAUAUAUAGACCCUAGUGGUAGCAGUUAAAUCCAUUUGGUUAUUUUUUUAAUUAGGCAUCAAUUACGCGUAAAAUUGAAGAUUUAGUAGUCACUGUUCCCCAAUAGCUAAUGAAGCCUUGGCACAAUUGAAGAUUUAGUCCUAGAUCUUGAGUACCUAGGUUCAAGACCCAUCACGUGCAAUUAAAUGUGUAGGUCUUCAAGUCCCACCAUAUGGAGUGAGAUUUAGUUCAAAUUAGUUAGUUCAUAGCCCGGAUUGUUCCAUAUCACAGUUUGAUUCUACAUUUGGUGGUUACUUGGACAUGUAUUUGUAUUUCUACUUUGAUUGUUUUGUACUUGUAAACUUUUUAAAAAAAGUCCUUGUUCGCCAAGUUGAUCUUUCUUAGUUUCUAUAGUUUUCUAAAAUUGAAAUUUCAGCCUUGAUAUAAAUGAUAAUCAUUAAAUCCAUUAAUCGACUUGUUUGGGUGCAAUAUGUGAAAAUAAUAAGUUGACGAAAUAUUACUUGUGCGAUAAUAUGUUUGUCGUGUAAAAUAUUAAAUUGCAUAACUUAAUAAAUUUAACUGUUAUCACUUGAUCAAGACUGAAAUUUCAAAAAUCGAAAAAUAAAAAGAGCAAAUAUAAUUAAAAUUAAAUCCAUUACUUAAGCUGAUCAAGCAACGUGUAGGAGUUGCAGUAAUGUUGAAGUUUUAGUUUACACCUAAUUUCAAGUUAAAAUCCUAAACAAUUCUUACCUCGCCUCCUUAUCAAACCAAAAACAAA
rnacentral:lncRNA from 1 species